UUUCUCAAGGUCUCAUUCUCCAUCAUAGCUCUUUGUUCCUGAGAGGGAGGGAAAUGUCAUUUAUAGAACAUUAAAAGCUUUGAAUAAAAAAAAAAAAGAGAGAGAGAAAAACAAUAACAUAUUUGAGGGAGAACUUAAAAACAAUUUUCAGUUUUUAAAAAAUAAAAAACAAUUUUUAAAAUUAAUUUUUCAUGUUUGCCAAUUCUUUUUAAGUUAUAGUUUUUAAAAACAAUAUUAAAAUAAUAAUAAUAAUAAUAAUAAUUCGGAGCUUGUUGCCUUAAAUUUUCUUGGUCGAGGCUUAAGGAAUUUUAGUAUCCUCUUCAUUCUCUGAUGGUCACAAUUCCAUCAUAAGCGAAAGUCAAAACAAUGAGAUUUGUAAAAGAUUUUCUGUGUUCAGUCAAAGGAAGUUUUAAUAUUCUGCAAUCUGUCUAAUACAAAAAAUGAAUUUUGAAAAUCAGCUGUACCAUGGUUGCCAAAUACAAUUAUUUUAAUUAAAAAUUAAUUAGAAAUAUAUGUAUGUUUGGUUUCUAAAAAAUAUUAAGAAAAUGAAAUAUUAAACUAAAAUGAUUUUUAUAUUUGGUUUUAACAAGAAAAUUAAAUAUAAUUUAAAUUAAUUUAAAAUUUAUAUAUAUCUAAAUUAUUUUAUUUUUAUACAAUAAAAAUAUAAAUAAAAUUUAUUUCUAAUAUAAAUUUUAUUUUAUUAUGUUGUUUUUAAAAAUUAUUUUUUUAAAUAUAUUACCAAACACUCUUAUUUUAAAAAAAAACUUUUUUUUAUUCUCAAUUUUAAAAACAAGUUUUGGCCUAGAUAAAUUACAUGCAUCCUGGACUUCUUGAGCUGCUCCAACAGUACCUGCUCCUGAAACAGUAAUUAAAACUUUGGAUUAAUUUAAGGCCCAUGGUAAUAACUAUUAAGAAAAGGGAUGAAUACUUAUAAGAACUUACCUUUUUGUCUUUAACAGAUAGUAUCCCUUCACUUAAUAAAUGCUCUAGGUGCUGCAACUCUUUGAAGCUUAACCCAUCCAGUUCCUUCCCCAUCAUUCGCCUGAAAAAUAUAAAGGGGGAAAGAAAAAAAAAGUUAAAAAAAGUUUAUAAUUUUUAAAAUUCUCUCAAUAAUUUUAAAAUCCAGGAAAGAGACAGGAAAUGAAGAAAGGAAAAAAAAAAAAACUCACAGGUAACCCUUCUGUAGUUUUGCAACUUCUUCUUUGAGAGAGGCGACCUCAGGCUGGGACUCCUGUUCAAAUGUAAAAACAACCGGUAUAGUAAACUUCACAUACAUGAAAAUGAUAUUUUUGUAUAAAAUUUCAAGAACCCUAGAGAUUACUUGAGGAACUAUGGAAUAUCGGACCUCUGCGGACCGAUGAAGUGAAGGAAGUUCCGAGUCCAGCCCCCUCCCAUAUCUCGUCAGAGUGUGCUCCAUACUGGAUCAAAGAAGAUUAGCUGUUAGAAUCGGAUUUUAUUUACCAACCGGGCUCUUGGUGACUUGGGCAAGUCACUUGCGGGUUUGGACCGAAGAACUCACACUUGGGCAUCAUUUUUGUGUGUGGGCCUGUAUGGCCCAUUAGGUCAGUCCAAUCUAGCCUAGCCCAUGCUGAACAGCCUGGGGGUUGCCUGUUCUCAUCGUUAAGGUAUUGAUCAUUCAUAAAUUUUAAACUUUAUAAUAUUGAAAAAAAUUUGAUAAAUUUUUUGUUCAUUCUUCAUUGAAGAGUCCAUUUUCUUCAAAAAUUCAACCUUUUAUCAAUUUAGAAAAUCCCAUUUUACAUUACCACCUCCAAAAAUGCUUCUAAUUUUUAGAAUUUCCUGGGGAAAAAUAAAUAAAUAAAAGCAACCCAGUAUCUCCCUACCAGAAAAUCCCAGUACUUCAAUUAUAUUUUCAAAAGCAGUUUUCCAAAAAUAAUAAUAAUAAAAAUAAUAAUUUUCUCACUAAAAAAGAAAAAGAAAAGAAAAUAAUUAAUUCAAGAAGAUACCUUGAACUAGAGAACUCAUAAAGCUUUCCUGUGCUGGAGAAGAUGAUGACACCAACUUCAGCAUCACAUAAAACAGACAAUUCUUUGGCCUUUUUAAGCAAACCUGCACGACGCUUUGAGAAGGUGACUUGACGGCUGUUGAUAUUUUCAAUCUUCUUGAUUUCAAUCUUGCCUCUCCCCAUUUUUCUGUCUGUGUUUUUCCCGAGAAAAAAAGGGCUGGAAAAAUGAGGUUAAAGAGAAAGAGAGAGCGAAGCCUGGAUUUAUAGGGAUUUUUUCCUUGUCGGGUGGGGAGGAGAGAUUUCGUGGUACUAAUGAAGGAAAUUGGGACUAACUUUAGAAAGAAAAAAAAAAUAGAGAGUAAAGGGGCGGUUUCCUAUAUGUGGCAAAAAGCCCAUAAAUGGUAAAGCCAAUGUCCUUAAUUGUGAUUUUUUGCCACAUUUAGAACAUUUAUACAAGGCAUUGCCAAUAUCUUUAAUUGUGGGUUGUUUUUUAUUUGCCACAUUUAGUACAUUUAUUUAAGGCAUAAAUAAAAUAUAUUCUUAUAGAAAAUUGGGUGGUAAAAAAAAUUCUUUUUUUAAAAAUUUAGAUUACUAUAAAAGAAAUAGUGUAAGGAAGAUAAUGCUGAAUAAGAAUGAUCUCCGUAGAUGGGAAUUUUUAUUAUGCUGAUAAAUUAUUUAUAGUAAUUUCCUGAAAAAAGGAUGGUGGUGUUGAAGAAUUGAAAGUUGCUCCUUUAUAUAUAUAUAUAUAUAUAUAUAUAUAUAUAUGUAUUUUUUUUUUUUUUGGAGUUUUUUUUUUUGCCUCCGGGAAUGGAUAGGGAUCAGAUUCCAUUUUAAGAACUUUUAUUGAUUCUUGGAGAUUACAAGAAUCUCAUAAUAUCUACUUCAAUUGAUAUAGAAACCCAUUCACACUGGUCCCCACAAAACUUAGAAAGAAAUAGGAAUGAAAGGAUUCAUUUGAAAAUUUGGUUAAUCUUUCAUUUUUGUACGCUUCAAUUUCAAUCAAAUGGUAGAAUCAUGAUUUUUUUUCUUAUGCAAAGCACAUGCCAUUUUAGUAGAAGCCCAUCCAAAUAUGCUCCUUUCCAUUUUGAUAAAUGCAAAAAUAUUUAAAUCUUCAUUCUUUAUUUGUUUUUGUUACUUGUUUAAUAAUUACGAUCUUGUAAAUUUAUUUGGGAUUACUUUUUAGAAUCAAAAAUGGUUUUUAAAUUUAAAAAAUAUGUUUGGUAGUUUUUCUUUCUUUUCUAAAAACCUUUAUUGGGAAAAAGUGAAAAAUAUGUUGUUUUAUAAAAUAAAUUUGAGGUGUUUUUAGGAUUUUUUUUUUAAAAGUAUUUUAAUAAAGGAUUGAAAAUAUGAAUAAUACUUAAAAUAAAUCAUUCUACAUUCACUUGAAAUUGGUUUUUUAGUUAUAAAUGUGAUUUUAUUCCUAAAAGUGAGAAUUGUUCUUAGAAAGUGUUCUAAAAAAUUAUUGUACAAAAAUUGUUUUUAGAACCCUUACCAUACUCAAAUUUUCUAUUAAACAUGAGAUAUAAAUUUUAAAAAAUAAUUGGUUAAUUUUUUUAAUAAAUUGUGAUCAUUAGCUUGACUAAAAAAAUAUGGUUCUUUAAAACAAAAAUCUAACAUAUAUAUAGAGAGAGAGAUGACCACCUAUAAAAUUUCCUUAAAAAAGAAAUUUGGGGCAAUGCAACACUUAAAAUAGCAAAAAAUUUGAAAAUUAAGAAGGUGAUAUGACGUACAAUGUGAUAUAUCCUUUAAAGGAAAGUGCAAUAACAAGUAUUUGAAUUAGGAAAAUAAAUAUCCACAAUUAUAUAUUGGAUCAUUAAUAGUGUAUUUUAUACACAGGAAGAAAAGAAAAUUAUUUAAUCUUUAUAUGGAAAAAAAAAAGAAGUUAAAUAUAUUUUAAAAAGUAUAUAACAAUAAUUUAAUCCAUUUUAAAUAUUUUCAUUUUUCUUUUCUUUUUUCCUACUCUUUUUGUUCACAUUGCAUAUUGGUAAAAUAUGAAAAAAUAGAGCGUAAUCAAAACUUGAAAUGUCGAACAAAAAGGAUUGCUCAAACUUCCUUAAUAAUGACAAUUGCUAAAAAAUAUGGACUAACUAGUCUAGUACUCGACUUAAUAUUAUUACCUUAUUUCUUAGAAAGUUGAAAUUAUUUUUAAAAUAGUUUAAUGGGCCACUUAAUUUUGAAAGAGUUGCCAUUAAUCUUAUGAGGGUUUGUUUUUUCAAUGUAAGGCUUUUUGAUAUGGAAAAUCUUAAACACACAUUGUAAAAAAUGUUAUAUACUAUAUUAUUCAUCACUUAUAAUUAAAUUUAUUAGAAAAUUAAAGAUGGAAACUUUAUUAUCAAUAGGAGUAGACUUUUUUUAAUUUUAUACAACAAGAAUAUGCAUGUUAUGUUUGAUUCUUGGAAAGUUCAAAAAAAAGAAAAAAAAAAUAGUGAACAUGAUUAUAAGAAAAGAAAAAGAUAAAAAAAAUUAUAAAUCUAUUUUUCUUCUUUGGAAGUUUAUGGAAAAGUUGAGGAAAGAAAAAUUAAUUUAGUAGAAAAUACACUUCUAAACUUUCACCAUUUAAUGAGAACAAGGAGGAAAUUUUUUUUCACGUUUUUUUCUUUUCUCCUUAGUAUUAUUUUAAGAAAAUUAUUUUCCUCAAUAAUAUUGAUUUUCCUUUCUUAGUAUUUUCCUAAGAAUAAAAUAUAACCUUAAAAUUAUAAAAUAAAAAACUUCUCAUAUUUUGAUACCAUAAAAUAAUGUUAACCUCUAUUUGAUUCUUAGAAAUUUGAGGGAAAAAAAAAAAGAGAAAAAGAAAAUAAAGAGGAAAAAUAGAAUUGAAAUAAAAAAUAAAUUUAAAGUUGAUUAAUUAAUUUUACAUACUUUUUAAAACCCAUUUAACUUAUUUAUCCUUUUCUAUAUAAAGAUUAAAUAUUUUUCAAAAUACAUAAAUCAAUGGAUACAAAGAAAUAAUCAGAGAAUGUAAGCAAGUCUUACAUGAUAAUGAAUAAAUAAAUAAAUAAAUAAGAUGAAAUCACGAAUAUACCUUAGCAGCAGACAAGAGUGUUUUCAUGAAAAACAUGGUUAGCCCAAUAAUAGCAAGUACAAAAUAUCGAGCAAUACAAAAAUCAGUCAAAUAUUGAACAAAUAUAGCAAUCAGAAUCAACAAUCGAAUGGUGAAUGUCUCAUAUGUUGAGUCCCACCAAUGCUUGAUUUAUUUUUGUAUAAAUUAAUUCUCUAAAAUUCCAUUAUUUUUGGAAUUAUAGAAUGAAUUCAUGUUUAUUAAAAUCGAGAAAUUGAGCAUUUAUUGAAAAUCAAGGAAAACAUACGAAACAAAAGAAAUGCUUGUCAGGAAGAAAUUUGACAGCCAAUUUAUUAAAGCAGGAGUUUUAGUGACCUAAAAUUUCUAAGGAAGAAGUAAAAGUUAUGAAAUUAAAAUUAUUUGAAAAUCAAUUUUUGAAAGCAUGCACGAAACUUGGAUGAAUCACAUGUGCUUUAAUUUAAGAUGAUGUACAUAAGAGGGUGGCCCGGGGUGCAACUUUCAGUUUUGCCAAACCCAACAACAUCCCCACUAACUAAUUAAUCUGUCCAUUUGAGUUUCUCUCUCUGUUAAGUAUUUCUCAACAUCAAUGGAAGUCUGUUGGAAGUCUGUUUUUGAUCCGGUGUUGGCUCAUAGGAAAACCGAGCUUCAAAUUCAACCAUGUAAGAACUCUUUCGGGUAGCAGAUGUAAAUACAGCUCCAUCAAAUCAACAACCACUUUCUGAGUGUCAACCCGACCUUUUAUCCUUCUCAUUUCCCAUAUACUAACAUCUCUUAACUAGCUCAAUGGGCGGAGCCUUUUAGAUCCAGCUUCCACUUGCUGACCAUUGUCAUUUGUCAUUUGACAAGUCACCGACCUGCUGACCCUCAUCUAUCAUAGCCCACUGCAUUAGGCUGCUUCUCUACUGGCCUUCAGAGAUUGAUGGUGCAGAAUAUUAGUUGGAAACUAGGCAUGCAGAGCAUCUUGGGAAAGGGAACAGUACGCGCGAAGGAUCAUGCACACUCGGGAAGAACUCAUUCACGGGCCUUCCAUUAAUAUUCUGUGAUCGUUGGGAUUCAUUUUUCUUUGAAUUCUGGAACCGACCCCACAUGUUCUCCAUCCACGCACACGUCGAGAUUCAUAUGCAAAUAUGGCUUCCGAGGGACAGUGCUUCGGAGUAAAGGAAUCCAGCAGAGUGAUACAGUUGCUAACUUUCAUGUAAAUCACAAUCACAAGAGGAUGGAGACUUCUAGCGGCAAAUUCUCUAAGAAGUAAGAAAACGUUUUUAACACUCCUUAAAAAAAAUUUAUCAUGUUAAAAAAUAUUAAAAACACUUUCUAAAAUUACUUCAAAACAUAUUUUAAGUGUUAAAAAAAGUAGAAAUAUUUCUAAAAUUACUGUCAAACAUAUUCUAAAUGUGCGUUUGACAAUUAUUUUAAAAAGUAUUUCUAAUAUUUUUAAUACUUGAAAAAUAAAAUUUUUUAAAUAUUAAAAGUUAUAUAAAUAUUUUAUACCAUCACUACCAAAUACACUUUAAUUCAAUUUUAAAUUGGAGUGAUUAAACUGUAUGGUGAAGCUAUAUGAAUAAAUAUUGGAAUGACCCAAAAUAAUAUAAGAUAUAAAAUAAGACUUGGGUUACAACUUAUAAAAUAACAACGAAAAAGGAUAGUGUGUAAUUGAUAUUUUGUAGUGCCUUUUCAUUAUUUUACCGAAAAUGUACCUUUUAAUACCAUAGUGAAACUAUAUUUGAACUUAAAGAAGGUGCAGCAAUGAGUAGUUUAAUUAGAAUAAUAAAAAUUAAUAAUUACUAUUACAACGUAAGUAAAAAGUAUUUAUAACAUUUAUGAUUAAUUUUUCAACCUUCUAAGUUUUAGUCAAACUUUUGGAAAUAGCCGGUAAUAAUGCAGCCUAUUCCUAAACUUUUGGAAAAUAUAUUCAGAAUACAAGGAAAAAUGUAAACAUGAUUCCAUCCCACGCUCAUGUCAAAGCGCGUGCUUAAAUUGGCCACAUAUCCUCACUCCACAGUCCACACUGAUCGAACCGUGUGUUCCCACGCGCCACGUGCACAUCAAAAGAACAAAGUCCAAAGCCCAUGUUUCGGACAAUCUCUUUUUUCAGAUAAAUAUAAUGAGGUAUUGCCACGUAGUAAACCGGACGGAUGAGAUCAGCCAGCACUGACCCCAAACCAUGUGCGACCCUACCAGUUUGAAUUCAAAUGAAGGGAGUAACGGUAAGUUUCCGAACCUGAGGUUGGUGCCGAACCUAAACCAAUUCAAAUGCUGCAGUACCAUACAACUGAAAAGAACAUCAAAACUAUCAGAGUAGUAGAGAUCGAUACCCUCUGUCUCUGAACCUUUCUCUUGGUUCCUUUUUAGGUUUAGGGUUUUUCUCUUUCUAGAACUUUCUUUCUCUAAGACUGGGGGGUCUCAUGGAGGGUUCUGCAACUACACAUGAUAUGAAUUUGGCUUCAAGAAAAGCCGAAGAAGCAGGUUUAUUUCUCCUUCUAUCCUUCAUUGCUCUCAGUUUCGCUAAUGAGAAAAAUGAAGAACAAAAAAAAAUCAAGAAUCGUAAUAUUCGCAGUCUUUUUUGGUUAUUUGGAGUUCAACUUAAGAAAACGCAAUACAUUAAGGAUUUUAAAGUUUUCGUCUCGUUUCCUCAAAUUUUCCCGGUAACCAAAGAUGGAAAAGAAUUGAAAUAAAAGUUGCGGGCUACAAGCGGAGGAUUUUAAUUAGAUGUUGCAAGAUUCUCAGUUUUCUUUUCUUUUCAUAUUAUAUCAUAUUUCCGCACUCACGAAUGUCAUGUGCUUGUAUUUCUCAAGAAUCUGGGAAUAAUAUUUUCUUUUGGGCGUUUUUGUUCUUAUUUUGUAGCUUGGAGGCGGUUCCAAGCUGCUGGAUGGCUCGAGACCCUAGUCGGACCAAUUGGGGUAUCGACUCAUCCGUCAGAACGAGAGUUCGUUUCUUGCUUGAGAAAUGGUUUAAUUUUAUGCAAUGCCAUUAACAAGAUCCAUCCAGGAUCAGUGCCCAAGGUAUUAUGACACUCUUGUCUCAGAUAAUAUAUUUGACGAAUUUAUGAUCUGUUUGGUUCCUGAGAAAAAUGUAGGAAAUAAAGAGAAAAACGAUAAUUUAUUUCCUUAUGUUUUCUCAAGUUAGGGUUUCCAGUAUCUCUAACUUGAUUUGAUUUCGGAAAACAUUUAAAGAUCGUGGAGAAUCAUUCAUCUUCACAAUCACUCACCUGGGAAUCUCAGCCUUUGCCUGCCUAUCAAUACUUUGAGAACGUCCGGAACUUUCUGGUGGCUGUUGAAGAAUUGAAGCUUCCUGCUUUUGAAGCUUCUGAUCUUGAGAGGGUAAAUAAGUUUGUGUUUGUAUAUAUUUUAUCAAGUAAACUGGGUUUUGAUUCUUGUUUUUAUUAUUUAGGAUACUUUGGAGGCUGGCUCUGCAGCUAAGGUUGUUGAUUGCAUUUUAGUCCUUAAAUCAUACCACGAGUGGAAGCAGAUGGGUGGAGGAAAUGGAUAUUAUAAGCAUGUGAGAUCCCCUAUGGUUGUGCAUUCAGCAAAUAGGGUAAAUUCAACAGCUUCUGCGGCAAAUCCAUCAGACUCCUGUAGGCGUUUGGAUAUGUCUGUUACACCUCCUUUGGACGGUGAAGCUCGGAAACUUGAAGGUUUUUUCCUCAUUUAGCUGCGAAUAUCUGUGAUUAAUGCAUGCUAGUAGAAGCAAGAGUACAAGAAGAAAUUCAUCAAAUAUUUCCUAAAUUUAUCAUAUACGGAAAUUGUGAAAUUAUAAUGAUUCAUGAUGUUAAGAGAAGUCAAACCUUGCAUAAGGUUAUUUCUUUCUCAUUCAUGUUAAAUUGUACCCAAUAGGAUUAUUUCUUUCUCAUACAUGUUAAGUUAUACCCAAUGAAAUUCUUUGACAACUUAUGGAAAAAUAUAGCUUAUUCUUGUUCUAUUGUAGAUAAAAUUGACAAGCUUAAUCUCUCUUUCUCGAUGGAUGAAAUAAAUGAACUUCAAAUUAAACGAGGAAAAUGUGAAUUAGCAUAUGGGUAGCCAACCAUGUGAGUAAAGAUGUAACUCCCUUAACUGCAUGUUGGGGCUGAAACCUUGUCCCAUAGGGUCCUGCUCCUUGGGGGAAUGCCUGGAAAAAAAAAAAAGGGAACAUCAUGGCUCCAUGGGCUCACAGCUAACAGAUUAAGCAUGGUCAUACUUUAAAAACUAAUGUGUAUAGUAAUUGUUUUAAGUGAACGAAGGGAGCAACACGUUUAUAUGACUUACCUCACAUACAGCAUCUUUAGUUGUAUAUGGCAACUCUCUUUGCUGGGUUGUCUCAAAUGAUGUUCACUUUUUCUGAUAAGAGUUAUUUUUGUUUCUGUGAUACAUUGGUGCCUGUAGAUUUGAUUGUCUCAGUAUUUGCUGAAUGCAUGGUUGAUGUGAAGGAAAACAUUGAUGAUAACCUUCUUGAUUCCUUUCGGAGUGGAAAUCGGGUAAUAAAUCACUUCAAUGAUAUAUAUAAAGUUCACUUUGAUUCCAUAUAUAAAUGUUAACUAAAAGGCUAGAUUUCAAGUAACUUUGCAUUUCGUCCCUGGGCUACAGGAUCCAAUCAAGUUAUUGAGCAGAGUAAUGAUGGGUUCUUUAAAGGAGCAACUUGAAAACAAGUUCCCUGAGGUGAGUUGGUUUUGAGUUAUAAAAGAUUUGCACAUCCAUUACCAGUUGCAUAUUCCAAAUAAUAUGUUGCUCAAACAUUCCCCUAGCACAAAGGGGAGGCUUUUGGUGAAUUAGUCAGUUCUUUUUCCUCUUAUUUUCUUUAUCUUUUAAAUGAAUUUUUUAAGGGAAGGUCAAAUAUGGUCCAAGUGGUGUCCGAUGUUGUCAUAGAAGUAUUAUUUUUAAACUAAAAAAACAAGAGUAUUUAGGAAACAUGGCCUUAUGCAAACAUCUUCCUCGUAGAUGGUAAAUAAUCAAAGAAAUUUCUAUUAUGAGCACAGUUGAACUUCACCUAGUUAUUAUUUCUCUUCAAUGAGAAACUUUUCUUUCUUCCUUGCAUUUUUUUUCCAAAAGAAGAAAAAAAAAAAAAAUGAUUGAUCUACUAAGGGGCACUCCCUAUUCUUUAUAAACAUCUUCAAAAAUUCAUUUUGACCACACUUCUAUUCUGCACAUUUGUACUUCUUGGUCUUGAAUCACAAAAUCUCCAUGUUCUUAAGGUGCAUAAUUACUCGUGUGUUUGUGCUUCUGUCAAACCUAGUCAAUAAGCUUGCUUAGUUAAGCUUUGUAACUCCAAACUUUUGGGACUUAUAAUGCUUAGCGCACAUAGUCCCUAAAUUAGGCAAACCUAGAUGAUAGGUAAUAUGGUUAGAAACAAGUCACUUUGUUCAAAUAUCAUAUAUGAUAUGUAACAUCAUAUAUUAUGUCAACAUAGUAUUUUUUAAAUUAAUAGCUCUAAGCACUAUUCUUGUUUAUAAAAAUCAUACUGUUGGAAAUAACUACAAGCACAAGAGGGAGAAAGAAAGAAAAAAAGGUUUUUGGAAAUGAGCAAAAGUCUUAAAUAAUGUCUGAUUGUUAUCCACAGAAAAAGUGAUGUUUAGCAUUUCCACCAGAACAACUUACCAUUCUUUUCUAAGAUUUGAAGGAAGUGAAGGCAGAAUUCCUUUUUUGUUUUUUUCUCUUUUGAGAAUCUAUUAUGCUUGGUUAUUAAUAAUAAACUAGCUCAACAAAUUAUUUUCCAUAAACUAUUGGGGUCCUCUGAUAUCAAUAAUAAAUAUAUUACUUGAUUUAUUUAUUUUUCCCCAAAAUUUUUCCUAAAAAAAACAUUGGUUCACCUGUUCUGUUCUUCUGCUGGUGUUUUUUCCCACUUAAAGUUGUGAUGAAUUAUAAGAUCAAUAUAUUGAAGUUUUCUUAUCCAAAAACAGAUGAAACCAAUUUUUAAAGAUCUUCUGCAAGAAGGAAGUGACUCAAAUGUCCAUUCGAAAUCUACACCUCUUGAAAAUUCAUCUACAGUUGUAAAUUCUAAGGUAUGUCUUGCUCAAAUCUUGUUUUAGAAUGUGGUUUCCUUUGAUGGAUAUAUAGUUUUCUUUGUAAUAAAGUGAAUGUGAUGAAAUUAACUCUAAUAAGUAACCUGCACUUACUACAAUAAUUUUCUCAGAAUUUUCUGUUUAGAUUGAAUUUACAUUCUCUUGAGCUUAAAAAACCUUUGAAGCUUGGUUCAUCAUAAAACUAAAUGGCUUAAAUUCAUUGUUGGGCUCUUAUUUAAUGUCUCUACCUUAGAAGUAAUAUUUAGAAUACACAUAUAUUUAGAAUACUUAAGAAAUGAAAUUCUGUUUCAGAAAAUUCAUCAACAUUGAUGAACCAACAAUGAAAUCAAAUUAAUAAACUUAAGUCCUGGGACUAGGAACCAUAAAAUCUGUUUAAUUGUUUUAUUUUAUUUAGUUCAGGGUCCUAUAUUCCUUAAAUUUUUUCAGAGGAACCUUGAAAUUGGGAAGAAUAGGAAUGCCACCACCUUAUACAACCGAAGGCAAUAGACUACAAAAAGCUGAAAAAAAUUACUCUCUCUCUCUCUCUCUCUGGUUGAAUAAACUAAAUGGUUUGACGGAUAUUUUAUAUUUGCAUGUGCCUGUUCAAAAUUUAGAUCAGAAAAAAUUUCACCCCUAAUAUAUAUAUAAAUUUUUGAAGACAGGUUGCUAUUCUAUGAUUCCAUGUAUCAUACUUGAUUUUUCUUUACAGCAUUGCAGAGCUUGCUUGAAAAAGAAUAGCUGCAACCACUUGCUCAUAUUUCAAAUGCAAGAAAAAGAACUUUCGGUAAUUAUUUAUUUUUAUUUUGUGUAUGAGUUACUAGUUAGUUGCAUUUAUCACUGUAUAAUAGUGUUGACCUGGCCUCUAUAAGUUGAACUGAAACUAGAAAUUAGUUAAUUUCGAUGAAUAUCACAGAUAUGGUAUCAGUAUCUCUCUUUGCGGAUUGGUGUAUAUUAGGCAUUGAGCAUACUGUUGAAAUUUAUUUUGACUUGUACUAGGCACUGAUUCUCUCACCUCUAUUUAUUCCUUUGCUUAAAUUAUGCAAUUUAUUUUAUUUUAUUUUAUUUCCACCCACUACUUGUGUUAACUUAAGAGAAAAGCUAGCAUAUAUAGUUCAUAAGCCAGACAGAAGACAUGAAAUCAUUAAGUAAAAAUAUUGUGCGACAAUCACGUCCUAGAAGAAAGUGAGAAAGAAGAACCUCAAUUAUAUUUGUCCAUUACUCUUUUUCUCUUCUGAUUGUACUCCUAUUAGAUCUUGUUCUGCUUAUACUCCCUUUUUUUUGGUCUGUAUUAUAAUAUGUGCUAUAUGAGAAUAAGACUCUUCUGAAUUUAAUUGGUAAGGUUGUUCAUCUUGCAGGAUCUCAAGGCCUUGUUGUCAAGAACAAAGAGGGAAUUCAAAGGGUUAGAGUCUCAAUUGCAGAAUGAUCUGAAACAACUGGGUAUGUUUUGUGAAAUACAAGAAUUAUCAAAAUUGUGCUGCAAACUCCACCUAACUCUGUUUGAACAAGUUUUGGAAGCUUUGAAUUUGAUGUUGGAUUCUUGCCAAGAUCCAAUGAGAGAAAAUCUUUAUUUGUUUUUAUUUUUACUUUGUUGUCUUCAUAUCAACCCCUUCCCAGUCAAUGUUGGCCAUGACUAUUAGGAAAAUCUAAUUAUACUCCAAAGAUUUCUGUCUGUACUACUAUUUCUCAUAGCUAGUAUGUCUCCAAAACUAUUGUUAGGUUAAGUGUCAGACAGUCUGAUAAACAUUGUUGUUUCAUUCCAUACGAGUUCAAGUUUACGAUGAUUGGUAGUUUAACAUGAUAUAAAAGCAUAGGUUCCUAAAAAAUCCUGGUUCUGAACCUUUUAGUUAAUUAAUUCAACAUGUGUUGUGUAAGUGUUUAGCCAGCUUGAUGAAUAUUUUUGGCCCAUUCCCUACAAGUUUAAUUUUAAUUUGUGAAAUAACUAAGAAUUUGAGAUGAAUAAAUUUUUUACCAUUAAUUAUUUUUUUUCAAGGCCAUUGGAAGUUUAGGGAAUGGUGAUAUGGAUUUCAACAUCUAGAACCACACUUUGACAAGUGGCACUUUCCAAGAGGUCAAACCAUGAUUUGACAACAGAAAUGAUUUUUAUCAGAAAGUGUGCCCAAAGAAAUGUUUUCUAGAUGGAUGCACAUCCCCAUAAACUCUCAUAAAAGCUCUCUUGAAUGUUUGUUAUGUUCUUUUGCAUGGAUUCAGGUUUUUAACUUUUUGCAUGGAACGCUUAUUGUGUUCGUCUUUAAUGUUUAUCGUGCUUGUGCCAUGCAUUGGCUCAGGAAAUGUAGUUCAAGAGAUGUCUGCUGCAGCUGUUGGGUAUCAGAGGGUGGUGAAAGAGAACAGGAAUCUGUACAACAUGGUUCAGGAUUUGAAAGGUCAAUUUGCUUAUGGAGCAUAAAAAUUCUGUCUUGAUCCUUGCAAAUUCUAUUUCUUUGGAGCCUAAGUUCUAUUUUAAAGCAUUAAAACUAGGUGCAUAUAUCUUGCCUGAAUUAGAAAAAUUAUCUCCAGGAAACAUUCGAGUUUACUGCAGAAUUAGGCCUGCCUUCAGUGUUGGAGCAAGAAGUACUAUAGACUUCAUUGGAGAGGAUGGUUCGCUAGUGAUAGUUGACCCAUUGAAGCGCCAAAGAGAUGGAAGGAGGGUUUUUCAAUUUGACCGAGUGUUCGAUCCAACUGCUACCCAAGGUAAUCUCUGAUUAGAUUAUGCUAUGAUGCAAUUUUUGUACAUAAAUCUGGUUGCAUAUUGCCAUGACUUCUUCUUCUUCUUCUUCUUUUAAUUAUUUUCAGAUGCUGUAUUUAAGGACACCCAACCUUUAAUUAGGUCUGUGAUGGAUGGAUACAAUGUGUGCAUCUUCGCCUAUGGUCAAACUGGAUCCGGCAAAACAUAUACUAUGGUAAUAUCCAUAGCUUCAGUUGAUCAAUUUCCAAUAGUUUUUCGCAUUUGCCAUUUUGCUUUGGAUUUGAUAUAUGAUUUUGGUGAUGUUUUACAUUUUAAGGUCAGAAGUAUCAGAUGGAUUUCUUUUUUCCUUUUAGUGUCCAUUAUAUUUUGAAGUUAUUUGAAGAGGUUUGUUUACUGUACGUGGAUUUUUCUCAUCUGCUAUUUUUAUUUCUGGUGACAGUGUGGUCCAUCAGGUGGAUCAACUAAGGACAUGGGGAUCAAUUAUCUAGCUCUUAAUGAUCUCUUCCAGAUGUCUAAUAAAAGAAAGGACAUUAUAACUUAUGACAUUUAUGUUCAAAUGGUUGAAAUAUACAAUGAACAAGUACGUGAUCUUCUUGCAGAAGAUUCGUCAACAACAAAAUAUCCUUUCCUGAUGGCUGUUCUUUCUUCUACUUCUGAUCAUCAGUUAAUACCAUUGCCUAUUCCAAUAUUUCCUGCUAUGUUUUACUAGUGUUUGUGAAAUUUGAUAUCCUUGACCACUUGACAAAUUAGAGAUUCGAAGCUGUACUAGCGAAAAUGGCUUGAGUCUUCCUGAUGCUACAGUGCAUUCUGUAAAGUCCACAGCUGAUGUUCUUAACCUUAUGAAACUUGGUGAGCUGAAUCGACACGUCAGUUCCACUGCAAUCAACAACCGAAGUAGUCGUUCACACAGGUCAGCUUUCAAGAGAUGAAUGCUAUGAAUUGCUUAACACAAUCAAAUGAUUCUCAUUUAGUAAGUAGAUUAAACUUACUAAAAAUUAUCUUAAUUUAAUGAGUUUUGACCAUCCAACUAUAACAUGCCCUUUUUCAGUUCCCCACAUUGAUCUGUAAACUUUCAAGAUUUAUGCAAAGAGUUUUAAUAAUAACCUUGAUUUCUAAGUUCUAAUCAUCCAAGUUAACAUUUUUCAUCUCUUAAAAAAGGGCAUAUCCAAUGGUAGGUGUCAAUCCUUCAAUCCUGACAAAAGUAUCCAGAGCUAGUCAAGGUUAAACUUUCAUUGCACCAUCAUACAUUUUGGUAGACUACAAAGUUUUGCUUUUACCAUGGAUUUGUGAAUUUAAGGUUUGUUUAAUUUAGAUUCAAUACAUCUAUCAGGAAAAUGAUGGUUUGGCUGUCUCUGCUACUGAAUGUAAUAAUACCAUGAAAAUAGUAUUGACAAUCAGAGUCAGAAGUCAUAAUAUAAUAAAUAAGUUGAAGGCUUUUCUUUAUAUUGAUGAUGGUGGUUUAUGUUUAUAUUUGUCUGCAGUGUCUUGACAAUACAUGUGCAUGGUAAUGAUUUAUCUGGAAGCAUUCUUCGAAGUUGUCUACAUCUGGUGGACCUUGCAGGAAGUGAAAGGGUGGACAAAUCAGAAGUCACUGGAGAUAGGCUCAAGGAGGCACAGUAUAUCAACAAGUCUCUAUCUUGUUUAGGAGAUGUGAUCACAGCCUUGGCUCAGAAGAACUCCCACAUCCCUUACAGAAACAGCAAACUCACACUACUCUUGCAAGACUCUUUAGGUUCUAAUACUCAUAUACACAACAUCUUUUCUCCAGAGCUCUAGAUCCUCUCUUUUUGUGAUUCACUCUUGAUUUCUUAGCUCUCCAAUCACAUCAUCCUACAUGAUUUUACUGAAGGGUUUGCUAUAUAUUAAGAAAAUUUUAAGCAACUCAAUUGUCCUUUUGUGUGUGUGUGUGUGACCAUUGGAGAGGAGUUGAGCCCUUAUCUAAAAUACAGAUUAUGCAAGGUUUAAUAUACUGAUAUAUAUAUUUUUUUAAUGGAAAUUGUUUACUACAGGAGGCCAUGCCAAAACAUUAAUGUUUGCUCAUCUGAGCCCAGAAGAUGAUUCUUUUGGGGAAACAAUCAGUACUCUGAAGUUUGCUCAGAGGGUUUCAACUGUCGAACUAGGCACUGCUCGUUUGAACAAAGAGAGCAGCAAGGUUAUGGAACUCAAGGAACAGGUAAACAUACCUGCUGCUCACAUUUCCAUUGGAUAGCUUAAUUAUUAUAAGACCACUUUUUGCUGUUGUUUUCCCCUUAAUUGAGUAGAGGAAACUUCGCACGUAACUUUGAGAUUCUAGCAUAUAAUCCAUAUCUUGUAAUUUCUGGAAAAUGCAUGUGAAUCCAUUUAUUUCUAGAAAAAUUACCAAAUAUUUUCCUUCAGAAAUGGAGUUGUUUUCUUCCCCUCCAUAUCACUUAGAAUGAACCAUGCAGAUAGAUGAUAAUGGAGUUGAUUUGUCCAAAAUUUUCAGAUUGAGAACCUCAAGAAGGCUUUGUCAAACAAGGAAGGUCACAGUAUCAUACCAAGUAAAGUGAAUGAACCAAGACCUCCAUCUGAGAAGCCAAAAGGAAUGAUUGACAGAACUCCUCCCCGGCCUCGAAGAUUGAGCAUUGAAAAUUGCAGCAGCUUGAAGAAAGAGAAAGCAAUGCAUCCUGAAGAAAAAAAAGGAUCAAAAACCCCUUCUAUACGAACUCGUGCACGAAGAUUAAGUUUGGAAGGUUCAAACCAAGGGAAGAAGGAUCAUUUGCUGGUGAAAAUGUCUGAAGAUGUAAGCAAGCUUCAACCUCUUGAAGCUUUUGGGCAUUUCAGCACUGGCAGUUCCAUGAUGGAAGAGGAGGUAUUUAAUUAUCAGAAAGCUCCAAAGAGUCCUGUAAGUUCCACUUACAAAAGCCGAGUUGCAAAAGCAGCAAGUAGAACACAGGUUGCACCAUUUCAACUAACAAAGACGCCUGAGCCAGAUAGAAAGGAGGUUCAGACUAUGAUGCAGAGUGACCUGAGUGUUUCUAAAGAUUCUCAGAUACCUAGCUUCAUUAGUAGUGGGAAUGGAAAAGGAUCUCAAAUAAGGAAAUCACUUAGAACCAUCGGAAAGCUGAUUAAUGGCUCUGAAAAAAGGUACUUGUACAUAAUUCACGAGUGAUUCUUCUUCUUAUUCUUACAUUCUUUCUUCAACACACAAAUGAAAUACCUUUUGUGCCAAAUUACAGGAACCAACAGAAGUUAAUGGAAGCAAGAACACCCAUCAAGGGAUCAAACAAUGCCGAAGGUGGGAGGUCUCCACUCACUGCUAAUGCAAGAGCAAUGAGAAGGCAGUCACUAACCGGCAUUCAGACAUCCGGGCCCUGGAGAUCAUCUGUUAUAGGGAAGUCAUCUGACUCCUGUAAGUAAAAACAAACUAAAGCAUCAGUUAUCAGAACAUUGAAAUUCUUCUAGGUUAUGUUUGGUUCCCGGAAAAUAUUGAGGAAAGAAAAAAAAUGUAAAGGAAAAUGAUUUUUUCAUGUUUGGUUGUCCUAUGAAAAAUAUAAAAGAAAAUCAAAUAUAAUUAAAACUAAUUAAAAACUUGUGUAUUUUAAAAUUAUUUAAUGUUUAUAUUAAUGAGUUAAAAUAAAUAAAAUGAGUUUGAAGUAAAAAAUAAAAAUAACUUAUCAACUUUUAAUCUAUUUUUUAUUUUCCUUCACUUUUUCUUUCCUUCUAUUUUUCCUUUGUAUUUUAUUUCCCUUGCAUUAUUCCUCAAAUUUUAUGAGAACCAAACAUAGUCCUAGAGUUUCUUAAAGUAUAUAAAUAAAUAUAUUUAUUUUAUUUUAUUUUUUCUUUUUAUAGGUUCAAAUGAAACAAGGAAUGCCUAGACGCCUCCUCCAGUCCACCGGUCAGCCAAGAUGACAAAGCAAUGACAAUAAUAAUUAUAGAUGAGCAAAGAAGACUACGCUUGGUGCUUUAACUCAAAGCAUACUACUGACCACAAGCUGACAUUUGGGUUGGAAAAUUGUGUGACCAUGAUUAUGAGUGGAAAGGUCAGAUACUGACCCAUCAUUUGUUGAGUGUCAAGCCCCCACUUCUGAUUAAUAAUUAAUGUUACAUGAUCAAGCUCAUUCUUCUUCUUAUUGCAAGCCCUAAUAGUUGGGUUUAGGCUGAUUGAAAUGCAAUUGGUUCCAAAAAAAUUUGUGGGCGAGGCCCAUUUUGCCACCUUGAGAUUCAAUUUUGUAAUUUUGGGCUCAUUCCAUUUGUAUGUAAAUAAUUGUGAUGGUGCAUUAUGCCAAAUAUAUCUUUCACAACUUACAUAUUUUAUUCUAAAUUUACAACAUUAUUACUCUUGAUUAAAAAAAUAAUUAAUUGGAUUUCACUAUUUUUUUAGUUUAGAAGACAUAAAAAAGGGAAGAUUUUUUUUAUCAAAUUCUAUUUCAUGAUUUUAUAUCUUGAUAUGUAAUUUUCUAGAUUUUAUUAAUAUAUUUUUAAUUAAAAUGUUUAAAAUCGUAUAAAACCAUUAUUAUAUUAUAUUGUACAUAUUAAAUAUAUAAAAAGAAUUUUGUAUAUAUUAAAUAUAUGCAUUCUAUUAAAUAAUAUUAUUUUAAGUUGUAUUAUAUUUAACUUUGUCAAUUCUUUAUCUUUAACCAAAAUUUUAAUUGUAAUUAAAACCUUUCAUUUUACAAUUUUGAAACAAUACAGAAAGUUUUUGAAAAGAAUUGAAAGAAAAUAUGAUGGAAUCUAAGAAAGAGGUUUUUUCUUUAAUAAGUGGUGGAUAUGGAAUUCUGGAGGGUACGCUGUCUAUGGAAUUCUGAAGGGCUUGGCAGUAUGGGAAAAAAGAAGCGGGAAAGACCGAGAAAGAGGAUGGUUUAACCGUACCUCAUUAUUUGACCUUCUUUCAUGGGAUAUUUACCACAGUGGCAAUCUUAUUAAUAAUAAAGCGAUCAUUCUAGAAAUCUUCACACUCUUCUUUUAGCCUUCCCAUAAUUUCCCGCAUUUCGAUAUUUUAAAAUACUAAUUUUUAGUACCCAUAUAAAUUUUGAAAGAUCCAUGAUUAGUGUACUUAAAUAAAAAAACUCCAAUAAAAUCUAAUUUGUUACUUCAAAUUUGAAAAUUUUAAUACAACAAAACGGCAUUAUCAUUAUUAUUGUAAUUAAGUCAUUUUUAAUACUUGCUUUUAAAUAUCGUUUCAUGGUAUACAAUAAAUAUCAAUAUAUUAAAUCAACGUAAUUGUAUUAUUAUAAAUUAUAAAAUAAUGUUUUAUAUGAUAUAAGAUUCAUAUCAUAAUUAUAUCUAAAAUUUUAUUAGCUCGAUCUAAUCUUUAUGUUCUACCAUAAAUUGUGAAAGAGAAAGUAAAAAAAAGCAAUAUUAAAAUAUAAAAUUGAUUUCUAUCAACUUAUAUUAUAAAAAUAAUUGAGGUAGGCUAAUUUGUAUAAAAUUAUUAUUAAUAGAUAAUGUGCAUGUAUCAUGUAUGUUAUAAAAGCUUUUAACUUAUAUUAUUUUCCUAAUUUUUACUAUGUGAAAUAAAUUAUGCUAUUGUUAAUAAACUUUAAUGGUUUGUUUGGUCUUUUUUUUUCUUUUUUUUCUUUUUGAGAAUUUAAGGAAAAAAAUGAAAAAGAAAAUAAAAUAUAAUAUAAAAUUGAUAAAUUAUUUUACAUGUUUUUUUCAACAAUUAAAAUAUAUAAUUUUCUAACUUAAUUUUAAUAAUAUUUGAUUUUAUUUAUUUUAAGAGCAAUGAGAAUCUAAAAUUAUGUCAUUUCCGAAUAAGUAAAAACUUAAUGUCACUUUAGUCAUUACCCCAAUUUUUAUUUUUAAUGUUUAUUAAAAUUAUAUUUAUAUAAAACAAAAGAAAUAAAAUUCAAAGACAGAAGAGUUAAAAAAUAAAAAUAAAUAAUUGUUUAAAAUGGAUCAUUUUAGACUUGUAAAAGUAAUUCUCCCACGUUUAAAUUUUCAUAAAUAUUCUUUAAUAUUUAUAUUAUUUUUAUGUGUAUUUAAAAAAAAUAUUAAUUUUAUGGGAAAAAAUUGGAGGAUAAUUUCUUUUUUUCAAAUAGGUCAUUUUUUUAGACUGGAUGGAAUACAUGAAGGGUUAUUUUUUUUUUAAUCAAAUCACCAAAUAAUGAAAAUAUCGGAUAUAUCGAUACUUCGAUUUUACAGAUAUAUCGAAAAUAUCGGCGAUGAAUAUUUUUUCACAAAUAUUGUGUGUAGCGAAAAUUAUUUAAAAUUCACAUGAAUAUUUGGAAAAAGUCCAAAAAAUUGAUAAAAUAAGUAAGAAAACAAAUUUUAAAGUUAUUUUGAAUUUGAAUUUUAAAUUAGAUUGAUAUUUGAAUUUUAAAAAUAAUAAAUAUGAAUUUUGGAAGUAUAUAAAAUCAGAAUUGAGUUAAAAAAAAUAUUUGAUUUAUUGAAUAAAAAUAAUUUAUACAUAAAUAUAAUACAUAUGACAUUAAAAUAGUUUUUUAUAUCAAAAUAAAGAUUUAGUUUCAUCGUAUUAUUAAAUGAAAGAAGUUCAUCUUCUUAAACAAUAUUUAUUUUAAAUUUUUAAUUUUUUUUUAUUAAAAUAGGUUUUAUUAUAUUUUAAAUGAAAAUUUAAAUUAAUUUAUAUAAAAUAUUUUAUUUAAGAUUUAAUUUUUAAAAUUUUAUUAAAAUAUGUGAUAACAACUUUUUUUAUUAAUAUUAAUUUAUUUAAAUAAUUAAAAUUAAUAAUAAUUUAUUUUAUUAAAUUAAUUUUAAUUUAUAAAAUAUCAUCUAUAAAAUCGGAAAUUUCAAUUAAAAUAAAGACGAAUAAUUAAUAAUUAUUUAUAUAGAGGGAGGAAAAUUGUUUUCGUGAUUUAUUUCCUUUUUUUUUUUAAUCUCUACUAAAUUUAAAAAUCAAAAGGGCAACCCACUUCUCUCAUGGCGCCGCAUCAAGAAGCCCUUUCUGAAAUUGCCCUCCAAACGAGAGAAUCCCCUGUUUUCCUCUGCCACUCUCAAUCCUCGCAGGUACUAAUCUAAUUAUUUUUUUGGCAACCCCCAUUUGAUUCCCAAGAAAAUCCAUCCCCCAUUCAACCUUUGCCUGCAAAUCAUGAUCAGAUUACCAAAUAACAUCGUUUGUUUUUUUUUUUUUAUAAAAUGGAUAGAUUUUGUAUCCUGUGCGCGGGCUGAACUGGUAGGAAAUAUCCUAGUCCUUUAAUUUAUGCAAGAUGCUAAACUGGACAGAUUUUGUAUAAAAUUAAAGUACUUUAAUUUUCUCUUUUUUCUUUUUCAUCUGAAAGAUUGUUUAAUUGUUUGAUUUAGUUGUUUUUUUUCCCCACCUUUUUUAAGGCUCCGCUGGAAUUUGCUUUUUAUUUUGAGCAUUGUUAGAAAUUGAUACGUUUCAUUAUGAAUCAUCGUUUCACAGACAAGAAAAAAUGUAAUUUUUUUAUUCACUAUUUUAACCAUAAUUCUGUUUGGUUCCCAAGAAAAAACUAGGCAAAUGAAAGAAAAUGUUGAAAUUUACUUUGAAGAAAAAUGGAAUUUAAUACUGGAAUUCGAACUGUUCGUGGCUUUUGAAAACAUAAAAGAAGAAAAUAGGGCAAAAAUAUGUUUGGUGACACAAAAAGGUUUCUAAAAAAUAUUUCUUGGAAGAUCAUUUUUUAGGAACUUUGAAAUAUCGUAUUCGGUGUUUUCAAAAUAGCAAGCACUGUAUACCUUGAAAUCGGUCCUUUUCAGGAAUCCCUUCCAGCAUUCUUGCUGAGAUCUGAACAGGUGUUAAAAUUAUCAUAUCUUCAUUUGUUUUUGUUCUUAUUCUUUGCCCUAUUGUUCAGUUGUCAGACAUGACCGAAGAAGCAGGCAUGUUUAGGGUGCAUCAUACCAUUGGGAGUGUUCUAUGUUGCAAAUGUGGUAUUCCAAUGACACCUAAUGCUGCCAAUAUGUGUGUCAAGUGUUUGCGCACUGAAGUUGAUAUUACCGAAGGUUUGCAGAAGCAUGCCACCCUCGUGCACUGCCCUGAGUGUGAUAGGUACUUUCGGCCACCAAAAACUUGGAUUGAACCCCAAUUGGAGUCCAAAGAACUCUUAACUUUAUGCUUGAAAACAUUGAAGAAUUUGAAUCAAGUUAGGUUAAUUCAUGCGGAAUUUAUUUGGACUGAACCUCACUCCAAGAGGAUCAAGGUCAAGCUAAGGGUUCAGAAGGAGGUUCUCAAUGGAGCAAUACUAGAGCAGGCUUAUAUUGUUGAAUACGUUCAACAAGAACAUAUGUGUGAGUCUUGCUCUAGGGUCCAGGCUAAUCCUGACCAGUGGGUCGCUUCUGUGCAAGUCCGGCAACAUGUUCCUCAUAGACGAACUUUGUUUUAUUUAGAGCAACUUAUUCUGAUGCAUGAUGCUGCAAGGUGUGCCAAAAAAAUUAAGCCAAUGAAUCAGGGAAUUGAUUUCUUUUUUGCAAAUUGGAGUCAUGGAAAGAAAUUUGUUGAAUUUAUUGGUAAAAUGGUUCCGAUCAAGAGUCAUCGCCCCAGCCAACAACUUGUCUCCCAUGAUCCCAAGAGCAAUAACUACUAUUAUAAGUACACUUUGUCAGUUGAAAUCUGCCCAAUAUGUCGCGAGGAUCUGAUCUGUCUCCCUCGUGAAGUUGCAUCUGGUUUGGGGAAUCCUCAUUCUCUUGUGAUUUGCACAAAAGUAACAAACCGAAUCACUUUUCUGGAUCCUUAUACUCUCAAGCACCAUUGCUUAGAUGCUGAACAGUAUUGGAGGUCACCUUUUAAGGCUUUGCUUUCUAGUAGGCAGCUUGUGGAAUAUAUAGUAUUGGACGUGGGGAUUGUUUAUUCUGAAGUUCAUGUUGGGGGCUCUAAGUAUGCUUUAGCUGAUGCUCAGGUGGCUCGUCUAUCAGAUUUUGGAAAGAAUGAUACAAUUUUCAACAUAACAACACAUCUAGGCCAUCUUUUGAACCCUGGUGACCAUGCUCUCGGUUAUGACAUGUUUGCAACUAAUAGUAAUGACAUGGAACUUGAAAAAUACAGAGAUUUUGACCUUCCACCUGCAAUUUUGAUAAGGAAAACUUAUGAAGAAAACUGCCAAGGAAAGGGUGGGAAGCCUCCUCCAUUGAUGAGUAGAGAGUACGAAGAGUUCUUAAGGCGUUUGGAGGACAACCCUGAAUUGACGCUUAAUAUAUCAUUACAUGAAAAUAAGGAAUACCCACCACCAUCAGUUAGAGAUGGAGAAGAGGAUUCAGCUUGUGGGGCUUUGGAGAAGUUGCUUGCUAAUGUUGAUUUAAGUGAUGAUGAAGAUGGGGAUGACGCCAUGGCUGAGUGACCUGAAGCAUUUGAGAAGUAAAACAAUAAUACUAUGGACACCAUUGAUGAAUUAAACCUUAUCUGGAAGAAAGAGGAUUAUUAUACUAAUCAUCAGCGUGAUGUCCACCAUGAUGUUCCAGCUGUGUUCUAUAAUUGUUUGGAUAGCAUUCACAUGACCGGUUCUGCACACCUAAUAUUAACUACUAAAGAAUAAAUGUUAGCCUCAGAUAAAUUGUGUUUUGAUUUUCUGAUGACGGUUUUUUUUUCUUGUCUCUGUGUGUGCUUCUUCAGGCAACUGUUUUGUUUUUUCUGUGUUUAUUAUAGUUAGUAAUAAGCUGGGAACCGAGAUUGUCAAGCGUAUAUAUUCAUAUCUUCAAUGUCUUCAUGGUUAACCUGGCUGAGUGAUUUUUUUUCCCUCUUUCUUUUGUUCCUCUUGCAGAAGGAUAUGAGAUAUUUGAACACAUGUUGAACAGAUUGGUUGUAAAGUCCAAAAACUUGAUGCAAUUCACAAGCAUGUGAAGUAUUUUGUGUUUCAAACACCGGCCCUUGCUACUUUCCGAGAGUAUCUAAUGAUUUUCCUUCCAUUUUGGAGGAAAAUUACAAUGAUAUGUGUGGGUAGUUCCUUAAAAUAAAAAAAUGAAAGGAACACAUUAAAUAGAGUGUGUGGUAGUCUUAUUUAGAAGAAAAGAUAGCUUGAAUUGGCAGUUGUUUGAAUUUCUGGGUCCCAAGUCUGCUAGCACAGAGUCUUGAACUUAAUGCCUUUAGGUUGUCCACAUGUAUUGACUUGUGGUUUUGGGCGGAAAGGUUCUAUUUUGGUCAAAACAAAAAAGCGUGGACGCAAUUCUCAGUCACAAGCCCACAAGAUGGUGUUAUGCACCAAGUUUUUUGGAAGCAGAUGCAGCUUAAUCAGAAUGAUGAAGACAGCCUUACCCCGGUGGAUGACAUUUUGAAAAAAAUAAAAGAACAUCUAUUUGAUAAGAAAAUAUUUUUAAAAAUUCAAAUAUUUAACAAAAUUUAGAAAAUGUUUAAAAAAAUUAACUUAUAGUAUUUUUUUUUUAUAAAAAAUAACUCUCUCAAAAAUAUUUCUAAAAAUAAUAAAGAAAAGCAUGUUUUUAAAAAAAAAAAAGAAAAUACUCUUUUUAUGACUUCCUCUGUAUACGGCCAUGUUUAGUGAAAGUCACGGUGGUUUUGGGAUACGUGCACCAGUUACUGAUGUGUAUCCCAACUCAAAUGUCAUCACUAACAUGUGUCCCAGCUUCCAAUGUCCGAUUCUUAGUAUGCUUUGAGUUGAGGCAUCAUUGCAUUGUCAUCUUGGAUUGGUACAAAUAAAUGACACUAGUAACUCAAAAACACUUAAGCACUUUAGCCAGGAAAAAAAUAAAACAAAUUAGAUGAAAUAACUUUUAAUGAAUUUCUUCAAAGUAUAAAGAAAUAAGGUUAUAUAUAUAUAAUCAGAGUACAAAUAAAAUGCAUAAGAAAAAUUAAGAUGAAAUAUGCUCUCGUGUUUUUUAUUUUAAAGAACAAAAAAUCAUGUUUAAUAUAUAUAUAUAUAUAUAUAUAUAUAUAUAUAUAUAUAUAAUCAAAGUAUAAAUAAAAUGCAUAAGAAGAUAAGAUCAAGCUUAUCAAAUAAAUAUUUUUUAAGCAUGAUUUUUUGUUCUUUAAAAAAAAACAUAUUUCAUCUUAAUUUUUAGAUAACAUCUUUUAAUUAUUUUUAUUUAUUUUUGAAAUUAUUUAAAAAAAUAAUUAUAUAAAUAUAAAAAAUAAUUAAAAAUAAAAUAUUAUACCUAAAAAUUAUUUUAAAAAUAUAAAAAAUAAAUUAAAAAUAUUUUAAAUCCUCAAACAAAUAUUUAUUUUACAAAAUCUUAUAAAAUAAUUUUAAAAAAUUGUUCUCAAAAAAAUAUUUUUCAAAAUCAUUCUAAAAAAAUAGUUAUCAAAUAGGGAGGAACUCAUUUUUCCCUUAACGUUAUUUUUUUUAAUCAUCACAAUAGAUGUGACAAAUAUAUAUACUAUUGUUACUUACAUAAUAUCUUAUUUAACAAAUUUAUUUUAUCAAAUAAAUUAAAAGAAGAAACAAGUUACACUAUUACUUAGUAGUGUCACAUGGAAAGGAAACUCGGAUAGAAAGUGUUGCAUCUUGCAUGUGCCCUGCAACUCUUGCCAGUUUGGCAAAAAUAUUAUAAAAAAUAGGGAGAAUUAUGUUUUGGGGGUAGAUGGGCCCUCAAAUUAACAAAAGGUCCAUGUAACUCUUCAAAUUGAGCUCAAGACCCAAUGAAAAUAUGAAAAUUGAGUUGAAGGAUAUCAUCCUUCAGUAUUUCCAAAAAUGCCCUUUGUUGAUUUUGAGAAAAAAAUUAAUAUUUUUGAAAAAUACUUUUAUUUAAUUUAAUAUUUUUGAUUUAAUUUAAUAUUUUUAAAAAAUACUUUUAUGUAAUUUAAUAUUUUUAAAAUAAUUUUAUUUAAUUUAAUAUUUAAAAAAAAUAAUUUUAUUUAAUUUAAUAUUUUUAAAAAAUUUUAAUUUAAUAUUUUUUUAAAUACUUUAAUUUAAUUUAAUAUUUUUGAAAAAAACAAUUAAUUUAAUAUUUUUGAAAAAAAAAUUAAUUUAAUAUUUUUGAAAACUACUUUUAUUUAAUUUAGUAUUUUUGAAAAAAAAAUUAUUGAAAAAAAUUAUUUAACUUAACUUUAUAAAAUAUUUUAUAUGUGUUCUUAAAGGGUAUAUUUGUCCGUUACUAUUUCAUAUUCUUCAAUUCAAUUUAAAGAGUUGUAUGGACAUUUUGUUAAUUUUGGGGGCCCAUUUACCCCCAAAAGAUAAUUCUCCCUAAAAAAUAAGGGUAAAAAUUACUAACAACAAAAGUGCAUCCACUGGCUAGCCAAUGUGGCACCCAGAGUGGCCUCCCCAGGAUUCGAACUCAAGACUAAGGUCUUUGUGGUUGCCCUCCUGGUACCNNNNNNNNNNNNNNNNNNNNNNNNNNNNNNNNNNNNNNNNNNNNNNNNNNNNNNNNNNNNNNNUCUCCCUUUGUAUUAGGAGGGCAACCACAAAGACCUUAGUCUUGAGUUCGAAUCCUGGGGAGGCCACUCUGGGCACCACAUUGGCUUAGCCUAGGCACUAGAGCCAAAAAUCUCGGGUCAUGCAUUGGCAUCGCCUAGGCCUCGAGAUACAAAUGUACAAUAGUGCUCUCAUUCCAUUUUCUUACCCUUUCUCGGGAAAAUGAACUUGAAGUUCCUUGACAUGAAGAAGCUGGUGUUGUGAAUUUAGUUGGCAUUAUGGCUGCGAAUUUUCUCUUUCAACCAAGUAAUUGAUUCAAAUAACGUGUUUGCGGAAAUAGUAUCUUUAAUUUAUUUUUCUAGAUCUUUAAUGUAUUUUGCAGUAUCUUUAAUUUCUCUGGAUUUGCAUUGCUGAGAUAUGGAUUUUGUAGGAAUAGAAGCAGGUGAAGAUGAACGUGUCGAAGCACAUGAAGACGAACGAGUCGAAGCACAUGAAGAUGAACAUGGAUUAUACUAUCAAAUCCUACCAAUGAAAUUUGGUUGUGGUGGUUUUCGUACCCACCUUGCGAAUCAACUUGACCUGGUUGGGGUAAUUAUUUGCAUAUAUCUCUCUGAUUAUGAUUUUCCGUACACAAUCAGAUGAUUCAAUACAUUCUAUUCUCUUCAUCCGUAAGAUGUAGGAGAAGAUAUGAUUGAAUGAAGGCGCAUGCUGCUUUUUCACCUAAAGUAAAUAUUCUCUUAAUUUCUUGUCUUAAUAAUAUUUAAUUUCUCAUACAUGCUAUUUAUUGUGAAUUAAUAGUUGUAAAUUUCUUUUGGUCCAAAACUUAAUCAAAGCAAAUUGGAUAUGAAUCUUGUUAGGAUUUGUGGAGCCUAGUUUUGUUUGAUCUGGUUUGACGACCCAACCCGAAUAAUAUUGUGUGGUUUUUUUUAAUGUGCAAUAUUCGUGCAAUAUUUUUUGGGCCCGUUUAACUCAUUGUGGAACCGCUUUUUGUAAUUAUGGUUUUUUAGUGUGGUGUGGCGGUUGCAUUUCAAAAAGAGAGAAAAUAUUGUAGUCGACAGAAGUACUCUGUAUUCUUAUCUGGUAAUAGUGAUAUCCCUACAACUCUGUGGACGUAGGCAAACUGCCGAACCAUGUAAAUACUGUCUUGGGAAAUUUGUCAAGCUUUGUGGAACCUAGUUUUGUUUGAUCUGGUUUGACAACCUAAUCCGAAUAGUAUUGCGUGGUUUUUUUUUAAUGUGCAAUAUUCGUGCAAUAUUUUUUGGGCCCAUUUAGCCCAUUGUGGAAUCGCUUUUUGUAAUUAGGGUUUUUUAGUGUGGUGUGGCGUGGCGGUUGCGUGUCAGAUAGAGAGAAAAUAUUAUAGCCGAUAGAAGUACUCUAUAUUCUUCUCUAAUAAUAGUGAUAUCCCUGUAACUCCGUGGAUGUAGACAAAUUGCUGAACCACGUAAAUACUGUCUUGUGCGUGUGAUUGUUUUUUCUUUGGCGUGUGUUUUCUCUAUUUUUUGUUUCUCACAGGUUGAGAAUUCGGCUUAAUUCCCUUCAACUGGUAUCAAAGCCUAGGGUUAGGUUUGAGUGGGAACAAUGGUAGAGGAAACAGGAAAAGCGUCUGGAAUAGAAAAGUUUGAUGGUACAGACUUUGCGUAUUGGAGGAUGCAGAUUGAAGAUUAUCUCUAUGGGAGGAAAUUGCAUCUGCCUCUUUUGGGGGCAAAACCUGAGAGUAUGAAGCCUGAGGAAUGGGCGCUUCUUGACAGACAGGUUCUAGGAGUUAUUAGGUUAACUUUGUCUAGGUCUGUUGCACACAAUAUUGUAAAGGAGAAGACUACAUCAGAUAUGAUGAAGGCUUUGUCCAAUAUGUAUGAAAAGUCAUCCGCAAACAAUAAGGUGCAUUUGAUGAAGAAAUUGUUCAAUUUGAAGAUGGCAGAGAAUGCAUUAGUAGCACAACAUCUGAAUGAAUUUAAUACAAUUACAAAUCAAUUGUCAUCUGUAGAAAUUGAUUUUGAUGAUGAGAUUUAUGCUCUGAUCGUCUUGGUUUCUUUGCCAAGCAGUUGGAAGGCAAUGAGGAUGACAAUAAGUAAUUCUACGGGAAAAAAAAAGCUCAAGUACAAUGAUAUACGAGAUUUAAUUCUGACUGAGGAGAUUCACCGAAGAGAUGCAGGCGAAACCUCAGGAUCUGGUUAUGCCCUAAACCUUGAGACAAGAGGCUGAGGUAAUGACGGAAAUUCAAAUCGGGGUAGAUCGAAAUCCAGAAAUUCUAAUAAGAACAUAAGCAAAUCUAGAUCAGGCCAAUAAGUACAAUGUUGGAACUGUGGGAAAACAGGUCACUUUAGAAGGCAAUGCAAAAGUCCUAAGAAGAAGAAUGAAGAUGAUUCUGCUAAUACUGUAAUAGAAGAGGUACAAGAUGUAUUACUUCUUGCAGUAGACAGUCCACUUGAUGAUUGGGUUUUGGAUUCAGGAGUUUCUUUUCAUAACACUCCACACCAAGAAAUCAUUCAGAAUUAUGCUGCAGGUGAUUUUGGUAAAGUGUAUUUGGCUGAUGGUUUAGUCUUGGAUGUUGUGGGUCUAGGAAACGUUCGGAUAUCGUUGCCCAAUGGGUCUGUUUGGUUACUGGAGAAGGUUCGACAUAUUCCUAACCUGAGGAGGAAUCUAAUUUCUAUUGGACAACUUGAUGAUGAAGGACAUGCAAUACUAUUUGUUGGUGGUACUUGGAAGGUUACAAAGGGAGCUAGGGUAUUGGCUCGUGGAAAGAAGAUUGAUACUCUGUAUAUGACCUCAUGUCCAAGAGACACAAUUGCAGUUGUUGAUGCAAGUACUGAUACAAGCCUAUGGCACCGCAAACUUGGUCACAUGAGUGAGAAAUGGAUGAAGAUGUUGUUGUCAAAAGAAAAACUACCAGAAUUGAAGUCCAUUGAUUUUGACAUGUGUGAAAGUUCCAUAUUAGGAAAACAAAAAAAUGUGAGCUUCUUGAAAACUGGCAGGACACUGAAGGCAAAAAAAAUGGAACUAGUACACACUGAUUUGUGGAGGCUUCUCCGGUUGCAUCACUUGCAGAUUCAAGGUACUACAUCACUUUUAUUAAUGACUCAAGCAAAAACGUAUGAGUUUAUUUUCUGAAAAAUAAAUAUGAUGUAUUUGAAACUUUUAAGAAAUGUAAGGCCAUGGUUGAGACAGAAACAGGUUUGAAAGUAAAAUGUUUGAGGUCAGAUAAUGGAGGAGAGUACAUAAAUGGAGGGUUUAGUGAGUAUUGUGCUGCAUAGGAAAUUAGGAUGGAGAAGACCAUUCCUGGGACACCACGGCAGAAUGGUGUGGCUGAGCGCAUGAACAAAAUUUUCUCAAUGAGUGUGCUAGAAGUAUGAGGUUGCAUGUUGGACUACCAAAAACUUUUUGGGUUGAUGUUGUUAGCACUACAGCUUACCUGAUAAACCGAGGACCAUCAGUUCCCAUGGAGUUCAGACUUCCUGAGGAGGUUUGGAGCGGUAAAGAGGUAAAGUUUUCACAUUUAAAAGUUUUUGGUUAUGUUUCUUAUGUUCAUAUUGAUUCUGAUACUCGUAGUAAACUUGAUGCAAAGUCUAAAAUAUGUUUUUUCAUUAGCUAUGGUGAUGAGAAAUUUGGCUAUAGGUUUUGGGAUGAACAAAACAGGAAAAUCAUUAGAAGUAGAAAUGUGAUAUUUAAUGAACAGUUUAUGUACAAGGACAGGUCAACUAUAGUGUCAGAUGUUACAGAGAUAGAUCAAAAGAAAUUUGAGUUUGUCAACUUAGAUGAAUUGGCUGAAAGUACUGUCCAAAAAAAGAGGUGAAGAAGAUAAGGAGAAUGUAAAUUCACAGGUAGAUCUGAGUACACCUGUAACUGAAGAUCGCAAAUUAUCUCUUGUUGACUGAUGGUGGUGAGCCAGAGUGUUAUGAUCAUGGAGGAAAAUAUCGGAAAAUAUCGGCGAUAUAUCUUGUAUUAGGAGGCGGCGACACGACAUUUCCAAGAGAAAAAUCGGGGGGACGAUUUUUCGCAAUUAAUCGCCAAUAAAUCGCCGAUAAAUCGACGAUUUCUCCAAAUAAUCGCCUGUGGCCGCAGAAAAUCGCCGAUAAAUUGCCGACUUUUUGGAGAUAUUUCGCUCCUUUCUCCAGCGCGAUCUGACGGCCCAGAUCACGCCCGCGUUGAUCUAACGGCCCAGAUGCGAUUCCAACGUUAAUAAUGUGAUCCAACGACCAAAUUUGAAUUUCAAUGGUAAAUUGGUGUUCCAACGACUAUUUUGGCCCAAAUUUCUUCUAUAAAUAACCAUUUUUCCAUCAAUUUCACCCAUUUUUACUUUCAUUCUUCAUUUGCUCUCUCAUUACUCCAAUUUUAAGGUAUGUUUAUUUUAAAUUGUAAUUAAUUUUGUUUGCAAUUGUAAUUAAUAUGGAUGAUUUAAUGUUAUUUUUAUAUUCAAUAGUAAUUAAUUUGUAUAUUUUUAUUGAAUUGACUUAGGUUAAUUUGAUUAUUUAAUUAUAAAUUGAUAUGUUUAUUUUAGAUGAUUAUUUGUGAUUUAGUUUCACAUUUAGAAUGAUUAUUUGUGAUUUAGUUUCACAUUUAAUUAAUUUAAUUAACAUGCUAAAUUAUUUAAUUAAUUUAAUUAACAUGAACUAGUAUAUUUUGAAUAUGAAAUAUGUUCAUUUUUAUGAUUAUUGGGAUUUUUUUUCAUAUGCAAUUAUGAUUAGUUUUUAAUUUAGUAAAUUUAUCAUAGAAUUAGAUCUAGAUUUAAAAAAUUAACUUAGCUAAAUUAUUUAAUUAGUUUAAUUAACAUAAACUACUAUAUAUGGAAUAUUAAAUAUGUUCAAUUUUUAUGAUUAUCAUGAUUUAGUUUCAUAUCCAAUUAUGAUUAAUUUUUAAUUUAGUAAAUUUUUCAUAGAAUUAGAUUUAGAUUCAAAAAAUUAACUUAGCUAAAUUAUUUAAUUAGUUUAAUUAACAUGAACUAUUAUAUAUGGAAUAUUAAAUAUGUUCAAUUUUUAUGAUUAUCAUGAUUUAGUUUCAUAUCCAAUUAUGAUUAAUUUUUAAUUUAGUAAAUUUUUCAUAGAAUUAGAUUUAGAUUCAAAAAAUUAACUUAGCUAAAUUAUUUAAUUAGUUUAAUUAACAUGAACUACUAUAUAUGGAAUAUUAAAUAUGUUCAAUUUUUAUGAUUAUCAUGAUUUAGUUUUAUAUCCAAUUAUGAUUAAUUUUUAAUUUAGUAAAUUUUUCAUAGAAUUAGAUUUAGAUUCAAAAAAUUAAUUUAGCUAAAUUAUUUAAUUAGUUUAAUUAGCAUGAACUAUUAUAUAUGGAAUAUUAAAUAUGUUCAAUUUUUAUGAUUAUCAUGAUUUAGUUUCAUAUCCAAUUAUGAUUAAUUUUUAAUUUAGUAAAUUUUUCAUAGCAAGUUUCAUUUAAUGCAAAAAGACCCGCAUAACAACACCAAAAAGUGUCCGAGAGUGCCGCCCGAAGUGAAAGAAGAGAUACGAUUCCUAGUGCAUGACAAAACAAAAGCAAAAGCAAAGAAAAAUGCAGAUAUUGAAGACAUUCGUGCUCAAUUACGUGGCACAAUGGGGACUCAUCAUACACAUUUGGUAGACAAAGAUGAUGAUGAUGAAGAUGUUGAGAAUGAAGAUGUGUAUAUGUAUCCGGCAGAUAUGCACCUAGAUGAGCGGGAUGCAUAUCGAUCUGCAGUUCGUGCCUCGAAAGCAUCAGAAUGGGAACGUGAACAAUAUGAGAAUAUUGUAGGAAGCAAACGCAAAACGGGGGAGUCUUCACAGUCUCCUGGAUUACCGUCGAUGAUGCGAAAAUCAUAUAGUAUGCGACAUUAGCAACAAUCACCCCCUAUUGCCCCUUCGCUUUACAAGUCUUCUGCAGUAAAACAAAAAAAUAUCAAAGAUAUAUUCAAGGGUGGUGCAAUUAAAGAAAUGAUGGGACGCUUAAUUAGCAAAUUCUUCAUUUAUGAGAGCGUCGCACCCGCAAAAGCAAAGUCUCAUCACUUCAAGAAUAUGAUUAUUGGUGCACAACAAGCUGGUAAUUACUAAUUUUUGAAAUGUUAUAUUGUGCUAUACUUUUAGUAAGUAUAGUCUUUUGUGACAUGUUUUACAUAUUUUUUUUUAUAUGAAGUGCAGGAAUGGGAAUCGAACCUCCAUCUCCAUUUGACAUAAAGAACAAGUACUUGGAAAUGGAGUACAGAGAAAUGGAAGCUUAUGUGAACCAACAAAGAGAAAAAUGGAAGACAUAUGGGUGCACAAUAAUGUCAGAUGGAUGGACAGGGCCCACAAAAUUAAGUAUUAUUAAUUUCAUGGUUUAUUCUAAAAGGAGCACGGUCUUCCUUAAGUCAGUUGAUGCAUCGAACUAUAUCAAAGACCACAAGUAUAUAUACGACCUAUUGAAGACUGUUAUCAAAGAAGUCGGUAAAGAAAAUGUGGUCCAAAUUGUCACAGAUAAUGGGUCGGCGUUCAUGAAAGCAGGGAAACAAUUGAUGAAGAAGUAUAACUUAUACUGGACUCCGUGUGCGGCGCACUGCAUCGACUUAAUCUUUGAAGACAUUGGUAAAAGACCCAGUGUUAUCGAGGUGAUAAACAAUGCUCGCAAGAUAACUAACUUCAUUUACAAUCAUGGUUGGUUACUAGCACAAAUGAGAUUGUAUUGUGGUGGAGACAUUGUUCGACCAGGAGCUACAAGGUUUGCUACCAAUUAUAUUGCUCUUGACAGUCUUCUUAAAAAAAGGGUCGAUUUGAAAAAAUUGUUUAUGAGUGAUGAUUGGGCACAACACAAGCUGAGUCGAACAAAACAUGGACGAGAGUUGGAGCAAUUAUUGUUUGACCAUACGUAUUGGGACAGAAUGACAAAUAUAGUUUCAUUAUAUGAGCCAUUAUACGUGGUGCUUCGACUUAUGGAUUCUGAAGUUGUUCCCACAAUGCCAUUUGUGUAUGAGCUUAUGCACGUGAUGAAAAAGAACCUUACACGUCAAGGAGCUGGAGAUUGGAUGUUCAAAAUAAUACAAGAUCGUUAGGAGAAAACACUAAAACAUCCACUUCAUGUAGCAGGUAUUUAAGUACUAUAUAUCUUUAUAAGUUUUUACUCUGUAUUUAAUUUUGUUUAAAAAAAUACUAACUCUACUUAAUUUUAUUGUAGCAUACUUCUUGAAUCCAAGAUUUCAAUAUAGGCGUGGAGUUGGUAGUGAUCCGGAACUACUUCAAGCGGUCCAUGAUGUUUUUGCAAAAUUAGAUCCAACUACUGAAUCACUUGGUCAAUUUGGAAAUGAGGUAAAUAAAAAACUGUUAUUUGUCUAUAAAACAAUAAUUUCAUUCAUCAAUUUAUUUGAACGUUUACUAACAAAUAUGAUAUUAACAAAUUAAAUGUUGAAUACAUAGCUUGUGCUUUUUCGACAUGCAAAAAGAGGAUUCGGUGAUCGAGCGGCAAUUGCAGCAAGGUCAACCAUGGUGCCCGGUGAGUCUUUGUAGGAAAAAAUUGAUUAUCAUUAUUGUAAAUUCACCACAUAAGUAUUUAUAUGAUUAUCAAAUUGGUUGCAGCUAAAUGGUGGUUUAUGUAUGGGAAUCAAACACCUACAUUGAGAAAGUUAGCCAUCAAAGUUCUCUCACAAACUGCGUCAUUUACUGCUUGUGGGAGAAAUUGGAGCACGUUUGCUCUCAUCCACACAAAGCAACGAAAUCGUUUGGCUUACUCUCGAUUGGAGCAAUUAGUUUUUUGUUACUAUAAUAUGAGACUAAAGUUACGUGAUAUGGAGGCAAAAAAUGAUCGAGUUGCUGAAAAAGAUUAUCUUGAUAUUUUUGACAUUUCAACCGAGGUGGGUGAAGAAGAAGAUAAUCAGUUGUUCCAAUGGGUGAGGCCUAUACACUUGGAUGACGAAGUUGGAAAUCCCGAUCCACGAAUUGCUGCUCAUGCUCGAGAAUUUGGAGUUAAUGUUGAACGUGUGUUGUCUGAAGAAGUUCACUCUGAAAGUUUUAGCAAAGAUACUGAUGAUUCCCACCAAGAGAUUGACUCCACAAGUGUUGGCCAUAAUAGUAGACCUAGUGCUGCAGGUACUUCUGCUUCUGGUUACGAUGGUUCAAGAGGUGGAACUGAUGAUGGAGGUGAUAAUGCGGGAGGAAAUAUUAAUGAACGUCAACAUAGUCAAUAUCCAGUUAGCCAAUUCACCUGUGAAAAUACUUUCACACACUGCACACAGGAUGAAGACCAUGGCUCUAGAAGAGCUGGUCCAGGCAUAGGAGCUAUUGGGAAGCCUUAUAGAGGAAGAGAACGAAUGAUGGAACCAUAUAAUGAGGAGUUACUUUCAGGGAGUUUUGAAUCUAUGAGUAUAGGAACUCAAUUUAGUGACUCCUCGAAUGAGGCUAAUGUCUACCCUCCUCAUGUGAUGAGUUAUGGUCAACCUUCAAGUUCAACAGAUGAAGAGUAUGGUAUGUCGCGUUAUUCACCUUCUAGACAAAUGCCUUACCAAGUUCCAUAUCAGAUGGAAGGAGGAUUGGGCAUUAACACAUGGGUGAACUUUGAGUAUCCUAUCCAUGUAGAGGCAGUGGGCAAGACUCAAGAGAUAUAUGCAUGGCAUGUUAGAAUUUUUAACCAAUAUUAUCGAGGCUCAUUGAGUUGGUACCAAUAUUGUCUCCAAUAGCAAGACGGCGUUCCUUCAUCUAUCAAUCCCAUUGAACCACAUCGAUCCUCAUUUUGGUAUUAAAGGGACAUUGUAAUGUAAUGUGUACAAAUUAUUGCUAUUUAAUGAAAUGAAGUAUUUUAUGUGACUUUAUAAUGAGAACAAUUACAAAAUUAACAUUUCUUAUAGAUCGACAUGAUAUAAUUACAUUUAAUAUCGCAAAUUAUAUUAUAUGUAUAUCAAUUUUUUCUACAAAACAACUUUAAAAUGUCUAUUAUACUUCUAAUUAUAUUAUUAUGAAGUUUUCUUUACAUUUCCAUGAGUUUUUAACAAUUUUAAGCCUACCGAUAUUUUUUUCCAAAAUAUCCGCCGAUAUAUCUCCGAUAUAUCCGUAAAAUCGAAGUACCGAUAUAUCCGUGAUUACCGAUAUUUUCUUCCAUGGUUAUGAUGAAGCCUUGCAAGAUGAGAAUUCAAGCAAGUGAGAGUUAACCAUGAAGGAUGAGAUGGAUUCCUUGUUGGGAAGUCAGAUAUGGGAACUGACUGAAUUGCCAAUAGGAAAGAAGGCUUUGCACAACAAGUAGGUAUAUAGAAUAAAGAAUGAGCAUGAUGAUAACAAACAUUGCAAGGCCAGAUUAGUUGUUAAAGGGUUCCAACAGAAGGAGGGCAUUGACUACACAAAGAUAUUUUCUCCAGUUGUGAAGAUGUAAACAAUCAGACUUGUACUGGGAAUGGUGGCUGUAGAAAACUUACAUCUUGAGCAAUUAGAUGUGAAGACAACAUUCCUUCAUGGUGACUUGGAGGAAGACCUUUACAUGAUUCAGCCAGAAGGCUUCAUUGUUCAGGGACAAGAAAAUCUAGUCUACAAACUGAGAAAGAGCUUGUAUGGCCUUAAACAAGCUCGUAGACAAUGGUACAAGAAGUUUGACAGUUUUAUGCAUAGAAUUGGGUUCAGGAGAUGUGAAGCUGAUCAUUGUUGUUAUCUUAAGUCUUUUGACAAUUCUUACAUCAUAUUAUUGUUGUAUGUGGAUGAUAUGCUUAUUGUAAGGUCUGGCAUUAAGAAGAUUAAUAAUCUGAAGAAGCAAUUGUCCAAACAGUUUGCAAUGAAGGAUUUGGGAGCUGCAAAGCAAACCCUUGGUAUGAGAAUCAUUAGAGACAAGACUAAUGGUACAUUGAAGCUUUCACAGUCAGAGUAUGUGAAGAAAGUUCUCAGCAGGUUUAAUAUGAAUGAAACUAAACCAGUGAGCACACCCUUGGGUAGUCAUUUCAAAUUAAGCAAAGAACAGUCACCGAAGACAGAAGAAGAAAGGGACCAUAUGAGCAAGGUGCCCUACGCCUCAGCAAUUGACAACUUGAUGUAUGCUAUGGUGUGUACAAGGUCAGACAUUGCACAUGUAGUGAGAGUUGUGAACAGAUUCAUGAGUAGGCCUGGAAAGCAGCAUUGAGAAGCAGUCAAGUGGAUUCUAAGAUAUCUGAAGGGUUCAUUAGAUACAUAUCUUUGCUUCACAGGUGCAAGUUUGAAACUUCGGGGUUAUGUAGAUGAUGAUUUUGUUAGUAAUAUUGAUAGUAGAAAAAGUACUACUGGGUUUGUUUUUACUCUAGGUGGUACAACUAUAUCAGGGGUUUCAAAUCUACAAAAGAUUAUUACUUUGUCUACUACAGAAGCUGAGUAUGUUGCAGCAACUGAAGUUGGAAAUGAGAUGAUUUGGCUACAUGGUUUCUUAGAUGAAUUGGGUAAGAAGCAGGAGAUGGGCAUUCUACAUAGUGACAGUCAGAGUGCAAUUUUUCUUGCCAAAAAUUCAAUUUUUCAUUCAAAGUCGAAGUAUAUACAAACAAAAUAUCACUUUAUCCGUUACUUUGUUGAAGAUAAACUGGUAAUACUUAAAAAGAUUUGUGGAUCUAAAAACCCGACAGACAUGUUGACUAAGGGUGUCACUAUUGAGAAAUUGAAGUUGUGUGCAACUUCAAUUGGUCUUCUAGCUUGAGGAUAGGAGGAUGAGUUGCAGGGAUGAGGGAUUGUUUCUUGGAGGAUAGCGGUUUGAUGUUGGUGAUUGAACUAGUCUCCAAGUGGGAGAUUUGUCGGGCUUUGUGGAGCCUAGUUUUGUUUGAUCUGGUUUAACAACCCGACAUGAAUAAUAUUGCGUGGUUUUUUUUUAAUGUGCAGUAUUCGUGCAAUAUUUUUUGGGUCCGUUUAGCCCAUUGUGGAACCGCAUUUUGUAAUUAGGGUUUUUUAGUGUGGUGUGGCGGUUGCAUUUCAUAGAGAGAGAAAAUAUUGUAGCCGACAGAAGUACUCUAUAUUCUUCUCUAAUAAUAGUGAUAUCCCUGCAACUCCGUGGACGUAGGCAAAUUGCCGAACCACGUAAAUACUGUCUUGUGCGUGUGAUUGUUUUUUCUUUAGUGUGUGUUUUCUCUAUUUUUUUGUUUCUCACAGGUUAAAAAAUCGGCUUAAUUCCCUUCAAAUCUUCUACAGUCCAAAUUACAUGAAUGUAAAGAUUGGUGAAGAAGAAUAUCCAAAUCAUAUUACAAGGAGAGUUUAUGGUGAAAUGGUUGUACUAAAUGUGGUUAAGAUCUACUGUAUGUAGUGUAGUAAACAAGUUGGCUAUAAGAUCGUAAGAAACAAAAUAUCAUAACUCCUACUAUGCUCCCUAUUUUAUCUUUUAUUUAUUUUUAUUCGUUUUUUAUAUUCCAAAUAUAUUUAACCUAAUGUUUAAGGUGAAAUUCAGAAGCAGGUGGUUGAGCCCCAAAACCUGCCUCCAAUCAUUCCAAGGGAAUUUAUACUGAUAAAAGGCCAAGAUUGGAAUGUGCGCCUUCUCAUAUGAUGCAGGUGUAAGGUGUCCCAACAGGUUUUUCUUUGUAGUCUCUUUCUUUGGUUUACGAUGACAAUCAGUUGUGAGGAAAUUCAGUUGUGUAGCACUUACUUGGUUUACAAUGAUAAAAGUUAUGAUGAAAUUCAAUUGUGUAGCACUUUUUUGGUUUACAUCGAUGAUCAGUUGUGAUGAAAUUCAAAUGUGGGAUUACAAUUGAUACUAUAAUACUAGCAGUACUAUGAUUUCAUAGAUCCAUUUGUUUUUCAUGUCCUCUUUGAUGUUCUAAGUGUUCCUUUUUCAAAGAUUAAUUAAUUUGUUUGUACUUUGAAAUCAUUAUUGAAUAUACUCACGUCCAAAGUGAUGAUUGCCAAUUUGCCACAAUAUUAUUGAAAAUUUUAGGCAACUGAAGUAGGCAAACCAGUGUGAUAAGAUAUGAAAAGUAUAAGUUGGAGGUGGAUUUGAAAACAAUAUGAAGCAUAAUUUAUUUAGAAACCAAAAUUAGGGCAAUGGAGUUGUUUAGCCCAAGAUGCUGAUAACAUUUGUAGCAGAAUGUUGUAUAUGCAACUGAAAUGGGCAGGCUAAUAUGAUAAGAAAUGAAAAGUACAACUUGGAGGUGGAUUUGAAAACAAUAUGAAACAUAAUUUUUAUCUUUCUGCUAGAAACCAAAAUCCGUUGCUUAGCUCAAGUAUAUGAUAACAUUAGUAGCAGAAUGGUGCAUGAUGGGCUUCCCAAGUCCAUGCCCCUUUAUUCAAUUGCCUGCCUACCAAUGAAAUUCUAGUUAAUAUAAUUAGUAGCAUAAUGCUGGGAGUUUGGGAUUAAUGGUUACAACUUAAGUGCGGUAGUGGGUGUGGAAGACCUCAGAAGACACUGUCUAUCGAGCAUGUCAUGUCAUAAAAGAGCUUGAAGAAAACAUUACAAUAGCGAGAACUGAGCAACUUACCCAUGGCCUAAUAAUGUAACAAUCUCCAUUUGGCUUAAAGUUGUAUAAAACUUUGAGAACUGUUUAAGAGAAAAUAACAGGGAAUAAAAUGGAAUGAAGGCGGUGUUAUCGGUUAGUUUAAAUAACCCUAUCCUUUUUUUCAGCAAAAGAAAGAUUAGGAUAGUAGUAGGAAAGAUUGAUAGAAUUUGAAUGAUAUGUGGUUUUUUUCUUAUCUUAAUUUAAAUAAGAUAUGUUCAAGUAUAGUUUUUGCAUGAGUCCUUAUUGAUCCUUGGUAUCUGAUGCUUCAAUGGUUCGCACAUAGUUUUGAAAGGUACAAUCCGCACCUAAAAUACAAAAGUCUUCUAUAGUUUAGGCCAAAACACACCAAAAGAUACACUACUGAGUGAAGUGAAAUACUGUUUAAUGCAUAUCAAUUUUAUAAAAUAUAAUCUAAAAUCCAAUCUUAUCAACAAAAAAUUUACUAUUUCAACAUUUUAAAUAAACAUUCAAUAAAAAGUAAUGAAAUUAUAUAAAUUUUAAUACACAAUUAAAAAUUUUAGGAAGACAAGGUGCACAUUUCCAACAAGGCCUUGGCAGAGAGAUGCCAUAAUCAAGGAAUGGUUGUGCCUUGACUCCAAGUGCACUUUUCACAAGUCACAACUAUGGGUUAGCAUAAAGAAUUAAUGCAUUCAUUAGAUGGACAAUAAGAAUAGAGAAAAAUGGAUGCAUCUAGAAAAGUUAGAGGUGACACUAAUUGAUGAAAAAAAUGAGAAAGUUGUUAAGUCUUAUCGAGUCAAUCAAGUCAACCACGUUGUACAAGGAAAAGAAGAGUGCGUUUAAUAGCAAUUUUUAGAAGUAUUUAUAGUAUUUCUAAUACUUAAAAAAUAAAAAUUUUUAAGUAUUUAAAAAACCAAAAACACUUCUCAAAAAUCACUGCUAAAUGCACUCGAAAUAUGAUACAAAUAAAGCAGCUAACUGGGGGUGUACCUGGAUGGUUGACAAGUGAUGGUUCCACCCCUUUAGUGAAUGGGUUUACUCAAGCAAGUGCGGAUGUAGUUGAUUUAUGUAUUCCCACUCUUCUUCAAGAGUUGCUUCAAUCAGAAAAGAAUUAUCUUCGGAUUCAGGUUGGUUGCAAGGCAUACAUGUAUGGAUUAACGUCACUAUAAUACUAUUUCUACAUGGAGAUAUGAAAAAUGAUUGGAUUUGUUGUUUGAAUGAAAAUUAUAGUAUGAUUCGCUAGAUGUUGCCACCAAAAAGGGUGGCAUGCUUCUGCAAACCUUCUGGAAUAUCCACUUCUGAGGGCAAGCAAUUGACACACAUAUUGGCAGCAGUAGGUGCCGUUGGAAUACCGCAUUUGCAACAGGGAACUCUUCCAAUGGUUUGAUGAUGUACUCUAAACAUGCUUGAUUCUCGAGCCACUGCUGAUAAGGGCAAAGCAAGAAUAAGAGGAAGAUAUGAUAAUUUUAAUAUCAUAUUUAAAUGUCAAGUACUAUGUUUUAGUAAAGGAAAAUAAUGCUAAGAAAUGGGAAGUAUAAAAGAAAAUAAAAUUUAAUUAAAAGAAAAAAUAAUAAUGGAAAUGAAAAUGAGCUUGAAAAAACAUGUAAAAAAUAAUAUACUACUCCUUUUGAUUUCCUUCUAUUUUUCCUACCCGGGAAUGAAGUGCUUGAUAUGUUGAAAAAUAUUACAAUGUUUCCUAAAAUUGACCUCUUCGAGAAAUAUUCCCCUCUUCCAAAAAAAAUUUCUGGUUUUGUUGGUCUAAUUGAUUGUCUUCGUUUGUCAGUUCACAUCCUAAACCAAAAAAAAAAGUUUGAUUUUCUGCUAUAUCCUUCUGUGAAAAAAGAAGGGACGAAUUGAGGGUUAGUGUUUACCUGCCGGCUGUAUUGCUUCGUAUUGAGGUUCUGUGUCUUCUUUCUUCCUAUGCAUGAAACUCUUCACUCCUCCUAAGAGCGUAAUCUAAGGAAAGAAAAUAAGACACAAGAGAAAAGUUAUUUUUAUUUAUUAUUUAUUAUUUAUUAAGAAAUAAAUAAAUAUAUUUUUUAUAAAUAUUACUUAACGGGUAAUUACUAAAAUUGUAUUUCAUAUUUGAUUCCUAAUAUGAUUAACCAUUAUAAAAAAAUAAAAUUUCAAUAGAAAUUUAAGUUCUCUAUCUUUAGACAAAUAUAUUAGAAUGAACAGAGAUCUUACUCUUAUUAUGUUGCAAUAAUUUACUUUCAAAAAUAUAAUUUUUACUUUCAAUGUAAAAUUAUAAUUUUUAGUCACAAAUUUUAGAUGUGAAUGAAUGAAUUCCAUCAUUAAAAUGUAAAAUUAUAAUUUUUAUUCACAAAUUUUAGAUAUGAAUUAACGAAUUCUAUCAUUAAAAUUUUGGAUUCCUUAAAAGAUAAAAAAAUCUUGAAUUUCUUUUAAACUUUAACUCUCCUUUUUAAUAAAUCUUGUUUCCUUUAUAAUAAAUUUCUAUUUGUAUUAAAAGUAUUGUAUUAUAAAUUCAGUGCCAUAUAACAAAUUAUAUUGUUAUAACUUUGAUUUCUUACAUUAUUGGCAUUACUUCCACUUCUUACAAAAAUUUUCUUAAUCUUAAACCUUAUGGCAUGCAUCUAUGGAUAUGUGGAGAUGUGUUUAGGUACAAAUGAGGGGUGAUUUGAAUUGAACACCACCAAUGUGUGAUAAUUAGACAUGAUACAUAGGAAAUGGGAAGCCUCAUUGGUCUAUAAGGGCACCAAAGCAAAAGAAGCAAAGAUAGCCCUUCCCCACUCCACUUACCCCCAAAUCUUAUUCAUUGGUUUUUUUUUAAUUACGUCUCACACGUCAUGAUUCAUGAUAGUAGGCCUAGUUUCCCUUUGGCUUGACACGUUAAAAUACCAAGUUGGGUUGGCUUUAGGGAUGGCAAUGGGGCGGGUCAUUUCGGGUACCCGCCCCGCCCCGCCCCUAAUGGGAUGGGAUAUUAUUUUUCUAAAUGGGUUUGGGAUUUUUUUUGAAACCCGGGGCGGGUUCGGGUAUUGCCCCACCCCGUCCUGCCCCGCCCCGAUUAUAUAUAAAAUUAAAAUUAAAUUUAAAUUUAAUUUAAAAUUUAAAAUUUAAAUUUAAUUUAAAAUUUAAAAUUUAAAAUUAAAUUUAAAUUUAAUUUAAAAUUUAAAAUUUAAAAUUAAAUUUAAAUUUAAUUUAAAAUUUAAAUUUAAUUUAAUUUAAUUUUUAUUUUAUUAUUUUUAAUAUAUAGAUAAUAAUAAAUUAUUUUUAAUAAAAUAAGUUAUAAAAAAUAUAAUUAUUUAAUUAUUUAUAAAAUAUAUUUAUUUUAAUAUAAUUAAAAAAAUUUAAAAGUAAUUUUUUAAAAAAAUUAAAAUUAAAAUUAAAUAAAAAGUUAAACGGGGCGGGUAUGGGAAUGUAGCAUACCCGCCCGCCCCGCCCCGUUUAAUUUUUUAAAUGGGACGGGGAUGGGAAUUGGUUUAAAUAAACGGAGCGGGGUUGGGAGGGGGGCGCCCCGCCCCGAACCCGCCCCGUUGCCAUCCCUAGUUGGCUUAACCUAAUUACUAUGGCACGUUGUACUGUCAUAGCUUGAUCUUUUGGGUCUUGGGCCCAAAGGCACAGCCCAUUCUGCUUUCGUGUCGAUCCGCUUAUCCCGUUCUAGUAUCACUUUUUGUUUUUUGUUUUUUGUUUUUUUUUCAUUUUUUACAUGUCAAAUGUCAUAAAUCCAUCUUUCAACAACUAUAUAAUGGUUAAUUUGAUGGGUAACUUAAUAUUUAUAGUAAUGUAUUUUUCACUUUUUUUCAUGUAAUUUGUUGAAAUAUUCAAUAAAAAAAUUAUAUUUCCUAGAUUUCAAUUUCUUUGAAAUAAUUAAAAUAAAUUCCACUUAAUAAUGAAAAAAAAAUUAUAACUCCAUAGCAUCGACAUAGCCCACCCACACAACAUGCUUGACACGUGGGGUCAUGGGCCGUGAUAGGUCAUCUAUUUGAUUUGCAAGGGCUAACAUGACAUGAGCAUGAUAAGGGGGGGUGAAACCAUUUUUUUUUUUUUUUUUACUUCUUUUCUUUUUUCCAAUUUGGCGAAACUUUGACAAAUUGAAAAUUUUGACUUAUAUGGUUGAGGCCUUUUAAGUUUGAUGAGUCUAGUGGUUAAUAUAACACAUCAUUUGAAGUCAAAACAUGUUAACUGAGAUUAUCCAAGAUGCUUUUGCGAUAAUCAUUAAUAGCUUUGGAACAGGUUUUGACCCAAUUUAGGAGGUAAAAGCCAAAGGCAUGUAUGUUAAAAUUUUAUGGGAUUUUACACAUGUGAGUCAUUUGCAUUUAGAAUGAGUCGUUUGCAUUCUCCAAAUUUAGGUACAACAGUUGAGCCUAAACUACAUUCUUCAGGUGAGAUCCGAUCCUCAAGUUAUACCCUCCCGACUUCAAAGCCUCACCUUACUCUUUCCAAAACCAUCUCCUUUUAAAAGCCUCUCAAUUCACAUCCAUCAUCAAAGAAUUAACCAGACACUUUGAUUGAACAUUGCCCAUCACCCCAUCACAUUUCAUAUAGCUUGUCAAUCAAAAGCAGAAGGCAAAAAUGGCAGAUAACCCCCAAGACCAAGAGGAGAGGGAGAGAAUCUUCAAAAGGUUUGACACCAAUGGGGAUGGGAAGAUAUCAUCAACGGAGCUGGGCGAUGCCCUAAAAACAUUGGGUUCUGUUUCAGCAGAUGAAGUUCAGCGUAUGAUGCAGGAGAUUGACACGGAUGGCGAUGGUUUCAUUUCAUUUGAUGAAUUUGCAGACUUCCACCGUGCCAACCGUGGCUUGAUGAAGGAUGUUGCUAAGGUUUUUUAAUUUCUUUUAUAUUUAUUUUUAUAUAAAUGUGUUGUUUUUUCAUAUUUGUUUUUGCUUUCACCCCCAACCCCAAGAGUUGCAGUCGCCAUUUUGAUGUGUCUCAUUUUUGUUUUCUUUGUUAUAAUGUAAUAGAAUUGUGUUGGAAGUUUCCUAAGCAUCACGUGUAACAUAGGACUCAUCCAUCUUCACAUUUAGCCGCCGUUAGAGAUUAUGGUUUUUGUGUUUCAGACGACUGCCUUUUUCAUUCCAUGAAGUUUUACAAAAUAAAAAAUGUAGCAUUUUCAAUGGCACAAUCAAUUUAAAAACAACAUGGGAUACUUCAAUUAAAAUCAUUAUUAUUUUCUUAUUUGUUUUCAUUAUACUUUUUUAUUUUGUUAAAUCUACUUGAACUCUUAAGCCUUUUUUAAGACAUGGAGUCGAAUUUUAUUGAAAAAAAAUCAUCAAAUUUAGAAUAUUAUUACAUUUGAUUAAUAUUAAUUAAUUAAAUUUCACUUUUUUUUAGUUUUAAGACAUUAAAAAAAAGUAAAAUUCUAUUUUAUGUCUAAAAUGAGCAAAAUGCUAUGAUCACACCUUAAGAUUUUAGUAGAAUUUUUAAAAGUAAUAAAAAAUUAUUAUGAAAAGUUAUAAUGUAAAUAAAAAAAUUUAGUAACAUUUUACUAAAUUUGUUUUAAUUUUUUAAUUUUUAAUUUUUUUAAUACUUUUAAUUUUUAAAGUAUCAUAUUUCUUUUCCCUAUGUGAACCUGUUCCUAAUGAUAUCACUAGGAAUCGACCAUAAUCCACCGGCUUUACAGGGAAGAAGUCAGGACUCACUCGUUCAUCUCCUCCAUCACUUCCCCAAUUGCAAUUAAAGUCUGAAAAAAUAUUAAUAAUUAAGUCAAAAUUAAUUUGCAUAGAUGUAGAAGAAGAUUAGCAUAAACUACAAUUUUCAAUCAUUCGUGUUGAAUUCUCUCACUUUUCCUUCAAGGCUUUUUGUUUCAAAAAAAUGAGCCAGGAGGUACGUUGGUGCUGCCGAUGUCCAAUGCAUAUAUCGGAUAGCAAGGCAUCUAAGUUUGAUUUCCUCUUCAACUGAAACAUCAAAUUAAAUAAAUGCUAAAUAAUACUAAUCAAAUAUGCAUCUUCAUUUAGCCAGAAAAAAAGAAAGGUGUGAACAUGGUUGUGGGCUUUGCAGGGAAUAUUUUAGGACAUUCAUUAAGAUAGAAAUUCUUAGUAUCUUUGGCAGCAAACAUUGGACGACCAUUAUCAUUAAGUGUGGUUAGCAUGGUAGUGACAAGACCACCUGUGCUUGUACCGGCAAUCACAUCAAAAUAAUCUGCAAUUCUUGCAUCCUCCCCAUCCAGCUUUUGAACCAAGUUUAAAACGGCUUAAAGAUAAUAGUUUAAUUAUAAAAUAAAAUAAGAAGUAUUAGGGUUAAGGUUGUUAUGACCCUGCAUUUCUUGCAUGCGUUCCUUUUCGAUGAUGAGACUCACUUUUUAUUUAUAAAAUAUUUUUUUGAAAAUUGUUUUUGGAGUCACCACUAUUUUUGUUUUAUAUUUUUAAAGGAAAAACAAGUUUAUAAAAAACCAAGUAUAGGCCUAAGGGUCAGGUUACCAAUUGGGAAGGUACGGUGAAAGACCGUAGCACCCCUCUAAGCCCUAAAGUUAGGCCUCUAUUGACCAGUUAAGACAAGUGUGACAAUUGAUUGAUUAAUCAUAAAUACCAAAUAGUGAUCAAGGGUGUAAUGUCUUAGUAUAAAAUGAAAGGUAUGUAGGUAUCUAAGAUCAUCCAAGUAUGCUGAGAAAAUUGAACUCAGUGUGUCAAUAGCUUCAUAAUCCAUCGAAAGCAACAAUCAUAAACAGAAAGUCAAAUCUCAAUGUCAAAGAUCAACAAAGUGGCUAUGCCCCAAUAUAAAAUAAUGUCCUUUGAUAUGGCUAUGCCACAAUAAUGAGGACAACAUGAAAUAAUCGAAUGAUCUCCAUACUACUCGUCAGAUGCUUCAACUUAAAGAAUCAAUUUGAUCUCGCUCCAAAAGAUGGCUAUGCCCCAAUGUAAAGGAUCCAAUAGGGUGGCUAUACUCCAAUAUAAAAUACUCUUCAUCAUGACUAUGCCCUAGUACAAAAUUGUCUGAAGUGGCUAUAUUCCAAGAUAAAUCAAACUUCAUCGUCGAUGAGAAAGCUAUGCCUCAGCAUUCAUCAUCAGUUCAAGAUCAAUCUCAACUCCUGAUAUUGAAAAUGGGUAUAUCUCAAUGUAAUCUCAACAACUCUUAGCUCCAUCAUAAUGGAAUGAAAUGGUUAUGCCUACCAUGAAAAUCUAUGAAGCAAUUGUGUCUCAAAAUAAACAUCACCUCAAAAAUCAUCUAUCGAUGAGAGGAGUGUGUCCUAAUGUAGAAUAUCAAGGAGAGUGAUUGUAUCUUCAAUAAAAGUAUCUCUGAAAUGGUUAUGCAUUAAUGUAAGGUCAUCCCACAACUCCUAAUCCAUCAUAAUCCAAGUGAAGAAGCAAACUAGUUAUGCCCUACUAUAGGGCAUCAUCUCAAAAAAUUUCUCAUCAAUGAGCAUUGUAUGCCCCAGUGUAGAUCACAUCAUCUCAAAAAUCCAUAAUUGAUAAGAGGGUUAUGCCCCCCGAUGUAAAUCAUAUCAUAGUUCCUCAUCCAUCAUACUCUAAGCAAUAAUCUCCAACCAAUCCCAAAUAUCACCCAUGUGUGAGCUGUCAAACAUAAUGUGUAAAGUCAUGGCCUUAGGAUGGUCUUAAGACACGGGACGUAAUGUAAGCUAAGGUAAUAGGGUGAAAGAAACGAGAGGAAACUAGGCUCAAUAAUCCCCAUGAUAUAAUCCUCAUACCUCUCAUGUGUGUGAUGCAAUGCAUAGAAAACCUCAUAAGUCAUGGACUUAAGGGUUCCCACACGAAAAUGAUGAUAAAGGAAUGAGCAUAUCAAAUAAGCAAGAAUAACGUGUGGAUACUGAACCCAAAUCGAACAUCAAGCAAGAUAAGAAAAGAAAUAAAUGAAAUGAGGGAUAAUGAAAAUGAGUAAUGGAAUAGAGAUGAAAACAAAGAAAUAGAAAAGUGAGUGAUGAUCAACCUACAUCAAAGCAUGAAAAACAGUCACAUUAGAAAUAAUGGAAUGAUGGAUAGAGCAAGGAUCCAGAGACCCUAAGGAAAUGUCGUUUGUCUCUCUCACAAAAAUCGAAUAGGCGACUUAUACUCUCACCCAGAAAUAUAUAUCAAGAUAGAAUUGAGUAAAAUAAAAAUCUCUAAAAGCUCACAGCAUUUGUGAAGGAGAAUGAGUCCCCUAAGUAGAGAGAAUGGCCAUGUUCAAUCUUACUAAAUAUAGAUAAAAAAUAAAAAUAAAAAUAAAAAUAAAAAACCUGUAAGACUCAAUAUUAUGGAUAUAAUCAUAUAAAAGAAACUUGAGAGUUUGGUUGAUUGAGAAUUGCGUCCACGUUUCUUUGUUUUGACCAAAAUAGAACCUUUCCCCUCUGAGCACAAGUCAAUACAUGUGGACAGCUAAAGGCCAAAGCCAUGAGUUGAAGAUUGUCCAAGUGAAUGAUGUUAGCAGAGUUAAGACCCAGCUUGAAAUCAAACUACCGAACUCACCGCCUAAAUGUGGGUACCCACCCAUAACCUGCCACUGACCACACCAUUGUAAUCUUCCUCCAAAAUGAAAGGAAAAUUAUUAGAUACUCUCAGAAAAUAGCACUGGUUUGUGUUUGAAACAAACAAGCAUUUCACAUGCUUGUGAAUUGCAUCAUGUCUUUGAACUUUAGACCCAACUAACAACGCCUUCAACAUAUGCUCAAAUAUCUCAUAUCCCUCUGCAAGAGGGAUAUGCCCACAUCCAUAUUUACCUUCUAGCUUUAGUUUUCAAGCCACUGUCUUUCUUCUCAGCCAGGUUAACCAUGGAGGGGGACAAGAAAAGAAAAGCAUCAUCAGAAAAAUCAAAACACAAUUUACCUGAGGCUUAACAUUUCACUGCAGCAAACCUCCAUAUACAGAAGAAAAAAAUUAAUUAAAAUGAAAGAACGCUUGCUUCAAAGCUUUAUUUUUUUAUACUAAAUGUGCAGAAGAGGGCAUGUGAACACAGUCUAUACAAUCUAUACAAGAACUCAAUAAAAUGGGGUGAAGACAGAAAAACGAAUAAAACUCAAUAUGACAAAAAAUGAGAGUGUCGCGAGGCUUUUAAGAUGUAGUAGUCAUAGGCACAAACCAACUGCUUCCGAAAUCUUCUGAGGUCCAAUGUCACAGUUUGGUGAUCCAGAUAUACCCUCUUAGUGAAUUCCCAUCCCUUUUUGGCUAGACUGUCUGGGUCUCUCAGAACAGGAUCAUCUUUAGCAUACUCAUUGUACAAUGAGCUCUCUCUUGGAAGAAUCUUAUAGCCCAUGUAUUUUAAACCAAGCUUCUCUGCAGGUUCCCCAUAGUAAGUUUCUGCCGGCCAUUCUGUUCCCAGAGGAAUUACUUGGAUAAAUACAGAGCCAGGCUGCAGAAACAGAAUAUGGGUCAUAGCAGCACCAUGGACUCCAACCAUGGCAUCACUUGAAUUUAGCACCCUAUAGAUCUUGGCCAGUUCAGUGGCUCUAUUGGGCCUCAGAACUUUGACUUGAAACCCUAUUUCCUUAGCCAUUUGCACCAUCAAAUCCUCAUUAGUUAUGGCUCUGGCGCCAGUUCGGGACAGUACAACCAAUUUCGGUUUCUUCAACUGAUGUACUUGCUCUUCUUUCCCUGUUUCUAAUGGGGGCUUUAGUGAUGGUGGUAAAGAUGGAUCCUCUUUCAUUUUUGACUGCACUUUCUGUUCCUUGGCUUGAAUUAAACUUCUGAUUCUAGGCAAAUAAGCCUGGUCUAGAAGGUUACGGAAAUCUCUGAUGCUCUCAUUUCCCUCCACCAAUGAAGAAUCCACAGUGAGCUCAUCAUGGAUCCUCAAACCAACAAUCGCUUCUGGAAAACAAUGGGUUCUGUUAUCUCCACUAAAAUCAAUUGGUGGGUAAUCUGAUAACUGCGAAAUCACGUCUCCAUACUUAGUAAUCCACCAAUCAUGGUACUCAAGAAUAACAAACACAACCCUCUUGUUCAGAUGCUGGGAAGUUAUAUACAAAGGAAGAAUCCCAUCAUUGAAUUCAUGGUAUAUGUUACCUGUAUAGCCUCCGGUGGAGAAGAACACAGCUGGAACAUCAUGGUGGACAUCACAGUGAUGGUGAGUGCCGUAACCCUCUUUUUUCGAGAUAAGGUGUAAUUCAUCAAUGGUGUCCAUGACACUGGCUUCCCAUUUUCGGGUAUAAGGUUUGAUCUUUUCGUGUUGGAGUUGCUCUUCUUCAAACUCCUUGCCUUCUCCAGAUAUGCUUGAAACAUGAUCAGUAAAGGCGUUGGGGUUUCUUGAACCAUACAGGAAGAUUGAUGAUGAAGAAGAGUGCGUUCUUACAUCCCCUUUCAUGAAACAUGUAUCUGUACGAAAGGCGCUUCUAUCACAGCAAAUAGUUCCUGCAUUUACACAAAAAAAAAAACCCUUAAAAUCUACAAAAUUUCAAAAAUCAAAUGGAACCCCAUUUUCCAACUGCUUAUAUCAUCUAAUAAAAAAUUCAUUCCACGAAGAAUGCACUGUUUGGAUGCAGAGGAUACAGAGGAAUUUGAGCUGAUUAUUCAUCUUUGGCGAAAAAAUCAAUAUGAAGCAAAAAAAUAGAAAAUCUUCGUCUUUCCCCUCUUUUCAUGAACAAAACUGAGGGGAAAAGGCAAUCAACAGUCAAACGACAAUCUCUUUCCGUGGGUCCAGCUAUUACGUUGAAGGAAAAAAAAGUUCAAAUAAACCACCCAAGAAAGCAAAAUAAGAGACUAACCAUUUGCGAUUGAAGAACAAAGGGUUUUCGCAUCCAUUUCAGCAACAGGGCCAUCAUAUUCUCCAAAUGAAUCUGCAAAACCCAGAACAUAAACCUCGAGAUAAGACAAAAAAAGCAAACAAAAAACAGAGAAAACAGCGGAAACCCGUGAAAAAAAAAAAAAAAAAAGAAAGAAAGAAAGGCUCACAUAUGGGAAAGCUGAAAAGGCAAGGGGCCAGGACAAAGCAGCAAGAGAGCAGAGACAGAAAAAGUAAGGCAAGAAGCUUGGGCCUUGUUCUCUUGUAAUAACCAGCGCUUCCACACUCAUCAACAAGGCUCUGUGCCUCUUCAUCAUCUUCGCCUUUCCUCAACUGAUGAUACCGCUGAUGGUGCACCAUUUCUCCUGUUGAAACACAGAAAAAAGCAAAGCUUUUGUUGUGGGUUAUGGAGUCUGAACCCAACACAGACAAAGAAACAGAGAAAAAGAGAGAGAUUUAUAUACAGAAAGGGAGAGCUGGUGAUGGGUGGUUCUGGGUUCGUUCCUGUUGGUAUGAACUAUGAAGCAUAAACUUGAAAUGGGUGUACAGAGGGAGAGAGCUGGAAAGAGAAGGUGUCAACGAAAGAAGGCUGGUUCAGGGGAGGGGGCUUUCAAGGUGAUAUUCCUGAUUCCAGUCAAAUACGUGUGCUGGUGCCCAAGCCCAUCAAAAUACACUUGGCCGUUUUAGUGGUUUUCCUUAUUGGCUACGGACCCUUGUAUUUUCAUCUCACGCGCCCCAUUACUGCCUUAAAUCCCUUCUUGGAAAGUCUUCAUUAUUGGAUGUUUUUUCAAAUAAGACUUUAAUAUGAUAAAAUAAAAUGAGGCUAAAUAAUUUUUAUGAAGAUAAUUGUGAAAGGUCCGAUGCUUAUGAGUUGUCAUACUGGGGUAAUAAUAUUUUCAAAAAUUAGUUUUUUAAAAUGAUUUUUAAAACCGUUUCUUAAAUAUUUUAAAAUUUUUGAAAAUUUAAAUAUAGAAAAUAAUUUUAUAAACUUAUUCAAGAUGAUACUAUGCACAUGUAUGAUAUAAAUUUUUUCUAUUAGUAUAUAGAUUUUUAAUGAUAUACCUAACGCGCUAAGUAGUUGCAAUAAUUAUAUGUAAAAAUACGGGGCGUAUAAAGAGACCUCACGCUUCCUUGGGGCGCGUGGAGAUGAAUGACGGCGACUGUGCUUUGAAUGAGCCAAUCUUCCGCAGCAAACAUCCUCCAAACGCUGGUGGGUUUUAAUUUUAAUAUUCAUGGUGGGAAGCUACAAUCUCAAUGCCAUUAAAUAUUGAAAAAAAAAUCUAAAUUGGACCGCAAAAGCAGAAUUUAGUUAUCCUGUAAGCAACAUUAAGGCAUCUUUAUAAGUUGUACAAGCAUAAAAAAGUUUAUAUUUUUAAUAAAUGAUUUGAAAAUUCUUAAAUUUUUCGAUAAUUAUUUAAUUUUUUAAGGUAUUUUAUGUAUUGAAAAAUGUCCAAAGGUAUUUUUUUAUAUUUAAAAAUAUAUAUAAUUUGAAUAAUAGAUUCUAGACAAACUCUUAUAUUGCUGUUUUUUUAGAAAUAAUUUCAAAAUUUUAUUUUUUUUUCAAUGUCUCUUAUGGGUUGAAAAUUUCAUAAAAGGAAAAGGAAGUAAAAGACCUAUUGAUACAUUGGAAACAUAAAUUUCUUGGAGUAAAGCUUUUAAGUUUGAAAAUUUAUUAAAGGUGGUAAAUAAAUAUUGGUGGUUGGGUAAUAGGGAAGAGCCGAAGAGAGCAUCAAGAUUCAAAAAGCGCAAACAACUAACCGCUAAUUGAGGCAGAGGCAUUUAGGAAUCAAGUCUGCGUUGGCGGCAAAAAUGGAUACAAAGAUCAGGAUAUUUGCAUUUGUGCCCCUUACAUUUUGAUAGUUUUUCUGUUUGUUCCAUUUUAUUUUCAUAAUUUAUUCAAAGAAGAUGCCAUUUUACCUUCUUUUUUUUCUUUUAAUAUUUAAUAUUAUGAAAAACAGAAGAAUGUGGCCAUAUAAAAAACAAAAAGUUGUUCUUUUAACACAAACUUAAAUAUAAAAAAUAAUUUCAAAAUCCUCAACUUUUUUUUUUUUUUGGUAAUGAAUGGGAUGAUAUGGAAUUGUGGGGAAGAGGUGUGGGUUGAGUGAAAGCAAGGUGCAAUUAGUUGACAAUUGGACCGUUGGAUAAAGGGUCCUUAUUUUGGCUUGUCCAGUCCAGCUGACUUCUGCUGGACUACAGCAGGUCUGUCACGUGAGCGGUGAGCCGAAUAGGCUAAUACCAGUAUACAUCCUGGUAAAAAGAAUUUAUAUAUAUAUAUAUUUAUAAAUAAAAAACCUUGGUAUGGUAUUUUAUGAUAAUAAGUGAAUAAAACUCCUUUUCAUAAUUAAGUUUAAAUGGAAUUUUGUUCCCAAAGAUAACAUAGAACUAACCAUUAUCAAAUAAGUUUUAAUAUUUUCAUUGUUUAACCACUAAAGAUUUUUGGGAAGGUUUUUGACAAUUUUAAGGGUUACUUAUAAAAUUUUGACAAGAAAAAAAAACAAUUAAAACUUAUAAUAUAUUAUAGAUCCCAAAAUUUGUCCCAAUUUUUUUUGUUAUUUUAUUUAUUAUUUAUUUAUUUUUACUUUUGUUUAUUUUACUUAUUUUAGGACUUUUUGGUUAAUAUUUAUUAAGCCUUUUCAGUUUUAUUGGAGAAUUAAUCGUGGUCCUUCCUUUUUCCAUCAAUUCCCAAUCACCCAUUUCAAACAAAACCCUAAUCCUCUCUUUUCUCUCUCCAUCUCAACCAUAGCCCACUCACCCACGUUUUCCCCAAUCUUCUCUUCUUCCACUUUCUUUCUUUUUGUCCAUAUUUUCUUUUUCCUUUAUUUCCUUUUCUUUCUUCUUCAUCUCGUCACGUGGCCGUCUCUCACCAUCGAUGACGCUACUACCGGUGACCCACUGCCAGCAACCCAUUAUCAGCGACACCACUACCGACGACGCUACUAUCGGCCGACAGCCAUCUCCAACACCGAUAGUCCUCUCCAUCACAUCCUCUCUCUUCUUUCCUACCCAACAUCACUCACCAUCUCUGUCAUCCUAAACCUCCCAAUCAUUGCCCUAACAGUCAUGGUUGUGCUGCUCGGUCGCCUUAGAAAAUUAUACGACAACAACCUUCCCUACCCCACAUCUACACCAAAGUCAAGUUGAACCCUUCUCGGGUUUAUUCACCUUCUUCCCUACCCAACAUCACUCACCAUCUCUGUCAUCCUAAACCUCCCAAUUGUUGCCCUAACAGUCAUGGUUGUGCUGCUCGGUCGCCUUAGAAAAUUAUACGACAACAACCUUCCCCACCCCACAUCUGCACCAAAGUCAAGUUGAACCCUUCUCGGGUUUAUUCACCUUCUUCCCUACCCAACAUCAUUCACCAUCUCUGUCAUCCUAAACCUCCUAAUUGUUGCCCUAACAGUCAUGGUUGUGCUGCUCGGUCGCCUUAGAAAAUUAUACGACAACAACCUUCCCCACCCCGCAUCUACACCAAAGUCAAGUUGAACCCUUCUCGGGUUUAUUCACCUUCUUCCCUACCCAACAUCACUCACCAUCUCUGUCAUCCUAAACCUCCCAAUUGUUGCCCUAACAGUCAUGGUUGUGCUGCUCGGUCGCCUUAGAAAAUUAUACGACAACAACCUUCCCCACCCCCACAUCUACACCAAAGUCAAGUUGAACCAUUCUCGGGUUUAUUCACCUUCUUCCCUACCCAACAUCACUCACCAUCUCUGUCAUCCUAAACCUCCCCAAUCGUUGCCCUAACAGUCAUGGUUGUGCUGCUCAGUCGCCUUAGAAAAUUAUACGACAACAACCUUCCCGUUCCCACAUCUACACCAAAGUUAAGUUGAACCCUUCUCGGGUUGAUUCGCCUAGAAAUGUGAGUUUUCUCUUCAUUGAUUCGUACAGUAACGAUUUGGAUUUGGAUUUGGGUUAUUGGAUUUCCCAUAUGGCCUUUGAUUUAUUCAUUUAGACUUAUUUUGGGUUGAUUUCUAUUUUCUAUUUAUUGGUGUUGCGCCUUGGCUUGUUGGAUUGCUAUUUGGUUUGAGUUGGGUCAUUAUAUUAGUUGGAUUUGGGCUGGUAUAUUUAUUAAAUCUUGUAUUAGGUCUUUCUUUUUGUUGUUGCUGAGAACGGGAAAAGAGGUGUGGUGUUGAUUGGGAGGAGGAGGACGACUCUUGAGACUUUUUGUAAUCUUCUUUGCGUUUCCUAUGAUAUUUGUGAGAGGGUUGAGGGUUUUUUUUUUAUAGUAUUUUUUAGCUUCAUUUUGAAAGUUUUUGGAGGGUCAUUACUUUUAUUGGACUGCACUUUUAAGGUUACUCCUACGUCCUUGUCCUUCAAGUUUUAUUGUAUACAUUCAUUUCAUUUCAGUUUUCUUCUUAUGUACAUGUGAAUGUAUCAUUCGUGUUUAGAUUUUUUAUUGUAUAUGUAUAUUUAAUUUGUGAUUCAUGGAUUAAUUUUUGUUUCCAUUUAUUUGUUAUCCUUAUUUAAUAUGCUCUAUUAGCUUUUGUUUUGAGUUAUUUGUGUUUUAUUUUUCUGUUAAGGGAAUAAUCCAAUAAUGGGAUAAUGUUUUUGUUUGAAAAAUAUUUUUUUUUCUUCUUACCUUUAAUGAAUGAAAAUUCUUUUUAGAAUAAAUAUUUAGUCCUUUUUAAUAAACGUUUUAAAAGAUUUUUUUGUAUUAAUAAGUAUAAAAACCAUUUUCAGAAACCUUUUUUUUUAAAAAAAAAUAUAUUAAAUUAAAAUAAAACUCUGAAAAUUUUGAAAAACGGUUUUUCUUUUAUAUAUAUAUAUAAGAAAAAAAAGAAACAUUUUUUAGAAUAAAAUAAAAAGGAAAAGAAUAUAGAUUUUUAUUUAAUAAAAUUGAAUUUUCCUUUUAAAUAUAUUGAGAUUUAAAAAAAAUAUAUUUUUUAAAUAAAUCUUUUAUAUAUAUAUAUAUAUAUAUAUAUAUAUAUUAUUUUAAUAAAUUUGAACUUUUUUUUCUCUCUUUUUAUUUUUUUGUAUAAUUAAUUUAAAAUAAUUUUUUAGAAUAAAAUGCAGAUAACUUUUUUAAAAAAUAAAAAUAAAUAAAUUGUAAAGCUUUUCUAAAUAAAUUUGAGAGAUUUUUUAAUUAUUUUCUAAUUCAAGUAGAGAUUCGUUUUUGUCAAUAAUUUUUUUUUUUGUAAAUAUUUAAAAAAAACUAUUAAAAUUUGUUUUGAAUGGAAUUAUUUUGUAGAUAAAAUUGUGAAAAAGGUCUUUAUUUUGAAAUAAAAGAUAAAUUAGAUUUUAUUUUUAGAUAAACUUAUAAAAAUAUAUAUAUUUAUUUUUCUUUUCUUAAUAAAAGUUAAACAAAUUCCCUUAUCUAAACUAAAAUUUUGAAAAAUCAUAUCUUUUAAAUCAAAUUUGUAAAAGACUUUUAUUAUUAUUAUUACUAUUCAUAAAUAAAAUUGUAAAUGGAUUUUUUUUAAAUAAAAUUGAAUUAACAUUUUUUUUAUAGUAAAAAUCAAGUAAAAUUCUUUCCUUUCAAAUAAAACAGUGAAAAUGAAAAAUUAUUUUUUUAAACAAAAUAUAAAAUUUUAAAGUUCAUUUUUUUUUAAAUCAACAAUCAAAUUGUAUUAUUCCCAAUGUUUUCAAAACUGGACCGAUCAUUAAACCGAAAAAGUUACCGGUUCGCGGUUCAUUAGUUUGAUCAACAGUCAAACUGGUGACGUCAUAAAUAUAUAAAUUAUAAAUUAUUAAAAUUUAAAAUAAUUAUAAAAUAAAAUAAUAAUUUAUAUAUUAUUUAAAAAUUAAAAUUUUAUUUAAAAAAUCAUUAAAUUAUUCUCAUAAUAGUCAUGGUUCUUCUUUAAUCAUGGAAGAAAAACUCACAUGCCUAUUUAAAAAGAAAAAAAAAAUGGCAAAAACAUUGAAUGUGAGUUUUAAAAUUUUUAAUUAUUUAUUUGUUAAAAAAAAUAAUAUUUAGAAAUUCUUAAAUUUAUUAUAAUAAACUAUAAUUUUAUUUUUAUUUAAUUUUUAAUAAAUGCUCAUUGCCAAAUGGGUCAUAGGGUAAAAAAGGAAAGAGCAAAUCCUCUCCACUCUCCACUCUCCACUGCUCUCUUGUCUUCUUCGUCCUCCCUAUUUCUUCUUCCUUCUUUUUCCACGACUUCUCAUUUCUCUCCCAAACCCAGUUCUCUCUCAGUGCCACCACACUCCUAUUAUCUUCUCUUUCGGCGAUUCCAACUUUGACACUAGCGGACUCAUCGACGGGCUUGGCUUUCUAAUCAACUUCCCCAAUGGUCGUACCUUCUUUCGCAAAUCAACUGGUCGUCUCUCCGACGGACGCCUCAUCAUCAAUCUUCUUUGUAAGUUACCGCACCCAACCACUCCUCUGGAUUCUCAUUUCUUCUUCCAAUGCGGGGGGUGGGAGGGUGGCAUUCCAAGAAGGGUGGGGUCCUGCCGAUGGGAGACGAUGAGGAGGGGAGGGCUUUUCCAAUAGUAGGGGAUGGCAACAGUGGAAAAAAAAAAAGUUGAACCGGACGGUUGGGGGAAACCGUUUGGUUUAUCCGGCAUGCCGGUCGGACCACCGAUUUAACCGGUCUAAUUUCGGUCUGAACACUAUCCAGCCUAAAUGAUCGGAUCCGAUCCAGUCCAGUUUUUAAAACCAUAUUAUUCAUAUGAAUAAAACUUGAAAAAAAAUAUUUUUUAAAUAAAAUUAGAUAAAAUUUCUUUGUAGUUAUUUUUAUUUUUAUUUAUUUAUUUACUUUUAGUCUUAAUAAAAUUGAAUAAACCCUUUUUUCAAUAAUUUCAUUUUUAUUAAUAAAAUCAAACAAUAAAUAAUUUAUGGUAGAUAAAAAAAAAAGAUUGAAACAUUUUUGUAAUUGAUUUUGGAAAAAUUUGUGUUUCUAUUCAUUUUUUUUCUUUUUAUAUAUAUUAUUUUUAAUAAAUUCUUUUGAUACAAUAAGUGUAAAUAUAUAUUUUUUAAAUUUUGAAUUAAAUCACUUAAAUAAAAUAUUUUGUAAAUAAAUAAAUUGAAAUCACUCAUUCAAAAUCAUUUUUAAUAAAAUCAUUUGAAAUUUCUUGAAAACUAUUUUUUUUUUCAAUAAGUCAUUUUGCAUAAUUCUCUUAUUAUUUAUUUUGUGUAUUAUUGUAAUUAGAUUUUAUCAUUAUUUUUAUGUAUAUUAUUUUUUUUUUGUAUCCAUAAUUAAUUAAUUAAUUAAUUGUCACAAUUCCUUUAAUUCAUUUAAUAGAGGCCGUGCAUAUAUGGGUUUAGAGAGGUGCUCAACUCACCACCAUAUUUUCCCAAUAAGUAACUUGACCCCUGAAUCAGACUUGAUUUUUUCACAGACCCCUUUUUCAUUCAGGAGUCACACUUAGAAUUUUUAUUUCUUAUUUUGUUUUUCCCUUUAAAAAUAAAACAAAAAAUAAGUGUCAACUACAAGUAUUUUUAUAAAAAUCAAAAUUUUACCAAAUAAAUGAAAAGCGAAUCACUCUAUCGAGUGGAAAUGCAUCAAGCGAAACGCGAGGUCCAUAUAUAUGUUCUAAAAAUAAUUUAUUUUUAUAACAAAUUCUCAAAAAAUUAUUUUUUGUUAAAAUUUUAUCAAGUUAUUUUUAUUAUAAAAAAACUAUUUGUCAAACUAUUGUUUGUUAUAAAAAAUAAAAAACCAUUUUCAUUAACAUGAUUAAAAUUUGUUAUGAUGAGCUACAAUGAGAAAUAGCCGGAAAGAUUUGAGUUUCCAAUAAAAAUAAUUUAUUUGAAAAAAAAAAUUAGCGAUAAAUAUUCUUCCAAAAUCAUUUUUAAAUUAGCACUUUUGUACACAUCAUAAAAUUUAAGAAUAUGAUCAACGAUUAUUACAAUAUCGGGUAACCCCGUCAUAUAUUUAAUCCCACCCAAAUAUGUUUGCAAGUGAGAUAAUUGUCUCUUUAACAUAGCUGCAUCUCUUUUCGGAAGACGAUUGAGUCUCCCCGUCUUUUGUUCCAUUCUCAAGUCCCUGAAUUUAUGAAGUCUCGUUUCUGUAGUGGACCAAUUCGUUGACAUACCACCGAGCCAUUUUUUAUUAACAUAAUGACACCGAGCCUUUAUUGCAGCCCAUGCUACUGAAUCCGCUGCUUUAUUUUUGGUACCAACAAUUAAGAAUUGUUUUCCCCUACUUGCUGCAUCAAAAACUAAAUCACAAGCUUCUGAUAAAAAGCGAGCAGUUCUAGUAAGAUUUGUAAUAUG
rnacentral:lncRNA from 1 species